rnacentral:lncRNA from 1 species
AGCUGGCGAGCGUGAGGAUGCUGCCGUGGGCCAAGGCGCACCUGAACCCAACCGGGCAGGCGCUCAUCAUCUCCACCGUCGCCGGGAUGGCCUACUUCAUCGUCGCCGACAAGACCAUCCUCUCCAUGGCCAGGAAGCACUCCUUCGACGACGCGCCGGACCACCUCAAGAACACCUCCUUCCACUAGUUAGAUCCACUAUUAGUAAUGCCCAAUAAACCGUGUAAGCCAAAGUGCAUAGCGUACAGUGAUCAGCAAGGGGGGUCAGGGAUGCUCCCGGAUAGUCUUGUACUGCGAGUGCAAUUGCUCAUUUCGUAAUAUAAUUUUCAUCAUGCAAGUAGCCAUGUACAGUAUGUUUUGAGCUAGCAAUACUGAAUGAUGUACCAGCAUUUGUUUAACCAAUAUUUUCCAACUAUCGUGGCUAUUUUUAUGAAUCAGUCAGAUUGUAUAAAAAGUUAAGCAACCUCAAUCUGACGUUUAGUUUAAUCUUGUUGGCUCGCUGCCACCCACGUGACACAUCGACUUGAUCAGCGAAGAAUAUCUAGUAAACCUCAGAUCCUAGUUUCUACUUAGCAAAUUCACCGACAGUGCCGUUUUGAUCCAAGGUGGUCUCAGAAAGAUGCCAAAAUUUCUCAGAGGAGGGAUAUUUACACACCAUGCAUCAUGUCAAAAACCAGUGUUACAUCAUGUCCAUUCCUUGCUGCCAGUGAUCUCCCCAGAAUAUAUAGUUGUUUAACUAUCAAUAAGUCAGUCCACACAACUUCUUUUUUUGACAAAGGGUGAAUUUUAUUGGCUCAAAAUGAAGCAUCAAGAGGAUACAGAACAUGAUGAGCACACACCCGGCCUCUGCAUAGCUACCGGCAAACUGCAGCAAUGACCAUAUCCGCACCACUCAUCUUAUGACACCAAAUGGACAACGAGAUUCUUCAACAGCAACGCCUUCAGGAAGGGAGUGGCGCUCAAGCGCCGCCGUCACCGGAUCCGACGACUACGGCCAGAAUCUAAGUUUCACCCUGAAGAAUUAGUCCGAACAUAUCCGAGCAAUGCCUUCAACAAGGUAACGACGUAAAAUAACAUCGUCAUUGCCAGGCAUAACCAACUCGGUUUAGACCUGGGCUUUCACCCCGGAGCUCGAGACCGGAUGCAUGAAUAGCACCACCAUCGCAGUCACUUGUGUUGUCUACCACCUCUUUUCCACGAUUCCAACAGCUAAAUGCGAUAUGUGAUCGCAAUCGCUGCACAACCAUCCCUCUGCGUCAAGACGUUAUAUAUAGUUUGCAUCUCACCGCCGAAGUCAACCACCAGAUUUGAAAAGAUGAAGUUGCAUGACAGUCAGUAGCCACCACCACCUGGCCGGUACGAUCCGAAUCACCGCCAUCAAGCACACCAGAUCUCACAACCACGCCGGGUCGCCAGCAUGCCCUGUUCCAAUCUGGUGUAGCAGCAAGAGGGGCCUAUGGCCGGAGGUGGGAUGGUUGUAGCCCUCUUGCCACCCAUGUACUGUAUGCGCCAGGAGCCGAAGUUGGCCGUCCAGCCGCUGCAUGCCCCAGCCAGCGAGAACACAUGAUCCAUCCACCGCUGGCUAGGUGAGGGGACGGAGGAGGUAGCGCAACUCCCAUCAGCAGCAGGACAACGCGAGAGCGGACAGCCUGCCGGAGGCCAUCGCCGAGAGUAGCAUACACGCCCCGCCGCCUCGCUCCAAGCCUAGCAGAACCGACCACUUUGCGCCUUUCGAUGGCCCCACCGCCGCCGGCGCCGGCGGCGGUGAGGGGAGAGGAGGAACCGGUGUAGGCCUUGGGCCGCCGGACUGGGGCGCCCCGGUGCGACUCGCUGGAGUCGCACGGGAGCGCGAUCCCUUUUUUCCGGAAGUUGGUUUAAUAUCAAUCUUAAGUUCUUAACUUCUUGAGUGAACACAACUGAAUCGUCAUGUUCGUGUUCAAUUUGGCAAUUUCCCUGGCGAAUCACAUAUCUUGCUUUGUAUAUGCAUAUGCGAUGUUUUUUUUUCAUGUGUACUUACCUUAUACAAAAAUUUAAGUGAAUGGCAGACAUGGACGGGUCAUGUAUAUAUGUUUUUUUGUCAUGAACACGAUGCCAUUGGUGUGAAAGUGAUCACAAUUUGGUUUACUGAACUUUGUAAUAAAUUAGUGUUAAUAUUUGCACGACACCAAAAUUAUUUCAGAUCUCACCAAAAUCUCCAAAACUUAUAAGAUUUAGAAUUUAAUAUAGAAUUAGUUGGUCUAAAAUUCUUUGGAUUUGAACAACAAUAGUCCAAUUAUGACUUCAAAUUAACUUUGGUUCUGCUGUAGGCCAAAAACAAUUAGGCUAAAAUCCACUUCAAUGAACACUAACAUUACCAAAUUUCGUUUUAACUGAUUAGCACUAAUUGUUUAUCUGUAGAAGAUGAGCCGUUCCCAUUGAAGUUUUUUUACACGGUUCCCAUAGAAGUUAUCCUUGCUACAUAACUUUCUUUUGCGAUUUCAUCCCUACAAGAAGGGUUGGACGCGCUUCGCUUUGCUGUUGUUGGAUUUCACAAAGAUAAUUUUUGGUUUGGCGUGGGAGAAAGAUGAUGGAGUGUUUUUUAAUGUGGUUCUUAGUGGGAUUUGUUGGCGGUGUGAUUAUGUGUUAUCUGCUAAUCAACAAAUACUUAUGUGAGGAUGUUCCGGUUCAAUUUUUUUUUUACUUAUUAUGUGGGGAAGUUUCUUGAGUUGGUAGCCUCAUGUACUAUAUUGGUGCCAUAGUGUCACAUGUCGGCGCUUCUUUUUUUAGAUGGUGAGAGGGUGCACAACACAUGACUAGUGUGCUUCGAUUAAUUUGAGAAAUCAUUGACCCGGUCAAAAUCAUGAAUCAAAUCCAAAAUUAAAUACCUCAACCAAAUGAAAGAGCUUGUUGAGAAAUAGUUGACCUGAUCAAAAUCACAAGUCAAAUUCAGAUUUUAAAACUUCAAUUCAAUAGGAGGGCUCCAAAAUUAAGGAGCAUGAAUGAUAGCUAGUAAAAAACCUUUACGUUAUUUGAACUAGACGAUACCCCGCGCCUUGCUGCGGUAACUUUGUUUAAAAAAAUGCGUAGAUAGUUGCUAAAAAAUAACUACAUCUAAUGAAAAGAAAAUAUUAGUUUGAAAAUCAUUAAAAAAGUCUAUAAAAAUAGAAUAUAAACUUUUGAAUUACUGUUAAAAAUAUCAUUUCGAACAAACAUGUAAAGGAUGACUAACAUGCAUGCAUGAUGUGGCAACGUUAUAUGCAUAGACUAAUGCAAAAAUAAUUGCAAUUUAUUAGUUCGCUUAUGUGGCAGACUUUGCAUGACUUAGUGGGAGAGAAGACUUAAAUGCAUGACCUUAGUGGGGACCUUUGCUUAUGUGGCAGAUUUUGCAUGGCUUAAUAGGAAAGAAAACUUAAAUGCAUGACCUUGUUGAGGACAAUGGGAUGGACACUUUGCAUAUUAAAAGAAUUAGGACCAACUUCUUAAAAACAUAAAAUAAGAUAAGCACUCAACUUUAUAUCACCCCAAAAGGGCUUAGCUUGCACACUGGGGAAUCAUACCAGCCAAACAAUCGAUUUGCAGGGAACCGCUGGCGGCGUAUGGUUGCCGUCGGGUUGGCCGUAAACUUGGAGCGCCCACACCGCACACAUCGCCAACAAAACGGAGGGCACGCUGACAGAUAAUGCUCUCACGCACAUGCUCCUACCCAUACGUGUUAUCCUACUUCGCUCCCUGCCAACCCCGAUCUAGUUGCAGUCUAGUGGUCACCUAAAAGAAACACAGACCAGGCGCGUGGGAUGGUUUUUAUAUGCGGACCAAGAAGGCGGCGCCACCUGUGCUCUGCCGCAGCGCACCACCGCUCGUCUCGAAACCACGUUCUUGCUUCCCACCGUAUCAGCUGAGCUCGCCGUCCUCUCCGCACGUUGAACUCGGCUUUCCACAAACCAUCAAACCCGACGGAAUUCAUCCAAGUUCGAAUAGAAAAUACAUAGCAUGCAAAUAAGUCUAGUAAACAAUAGUUCAAAUUCAACGAGCUUAACCGGAUGUUCAAUAAGCUUUUCAUGAAUGGAUCAUGCCGUCACACAUACUGCGGCUUCAGCUUCAUCCAACAGUGUGGGUACGUAAAAGGUUGUCCCUCUAUCCUAUGGUACAUCAUGGCGGCGCUUACGGGACUAUGUAUAGAGCAACAUUGAGUGAGCGAAUGAUUCAAUUAACAAGUUGAGCAAGAAUUACCAAUGGCCACAUUGCGGUACGAUUUUCUCCACUGCUGCGCCCAAUGGCCACAUUGCCUCCAGCCGAGUAACCGCGUCACAACACUUGGUGAUGGUAGUCUGGACGGCGUACCAUCGAUACGAUAACGACUACACAUUGAGAUCAUGGAUGAUGUGCAUGUCAUGGGGCGCAAUGUACUUUCGCGCGUGAAACGAAUCAUGCACACACUGCCAGAAGAUCCCUCUUCUGCUCCAGCCUACGAACUCCGUGGAUAUGGCCAACCAUGCAUCGCAGAACAACUCAUCCUCCAUGGUCGAGUACCCCCACCAUUCUUUGUGGAAUAAGAAAACAACAUGCCAUUUGAAGAUAAGCUCAAUUACAUUUGACCGAACACCUGCCAGGCAUGGUGUCAGCCAUGGACUUUGUUGACGGGGGGUGGAUUGUGCCUGGCUACAGACGGGUCCUGGGUGGACGGCGCCGUCGUAAAAGGCGAGCGGGCGUGUCGGUGCUGAUUGCGUACGUCUGGCAAUGCCUGUGUGGGGUCCGGAGAGGUACGACAACGUCGAAGAGGAGGAAGCAAUAGGGAGAAAGGGCGGCUUGGAAGAAAAUGUGACCGGGAGGAGAGGGNNNNNNNNNNNNNNNNNNNNNNNNNNNNNNNNNNNNNNNNNNNNNNNNNNNNNNNNNNNNNNNNNNNNNNNNNNNNNNNNNNNNNNNNNNNNNNNNNNNNNNNNNNNNNNNNNNNNNNNNNNNNNNNNNNNNNNNNNNNNNNNNNNNNNNNNNNNNNNNNNNNNNNNNNNNNNNNNNNNNNNNNNNNNNNNNNNNNNNNNNNNNNNNNNNNNNNNNNNNNNNNNNNNNNNNNNNNNNNNNNNNNNNNNNNNNNNNNNNNNNNNNNNNNNNNNNNNNNNNNNNNNNNNNNNNNNNNNNNNNNNNNNNNNNNNNNNNNNNNNNNNNNNNNNNNNNNNNNGGAAAAAGUGCCUCCGGACCGGUCGGCGGACUGAUACACGCAUUGGAUGGCAAAACACGUCCGAACUGCACAAUUCGAAUGUGUGCGGAUGAUUUGAGGGUCGGUGUUCGAGAUGCCCUAAAAUGAGUAUAACGCAUAGUUAUACCUAGCUCAAAUAAAUUUAAUUGAGUUUUAAACUUCCUCUGAGAAUAUUUGAACGGUAUCUAGUCGAUUUUAUUCGGUAGCCGCAUCUUUUGCCCCCUCUUGGCAUUUGUUCAGUAUAUUUGGUAGCCAUUACCUUGGUCGGGGUCGGGAUUCACGACGACGGGAGAUGUACGGUGGUUGUGCGAGCGGUGACGUAGCUAGCUAGUGAAAACCUUUAUGUUAUUUGAACAUGUGACCAACUUUAUAUUUCCCCGCAACCAAGGUGAUGAACGGAGAUGGACCAACAUGUGGUUAGAUGGUUAGGAGGAUAUGAGUAUUCCCAAUCCAUCACGGUUCAAGUCCUAAUAAAUUCAGGAUUUUUAAGGAUGUGUGUUUAGUGAGAGGAGACGUUUCCAUCACACAAGGCGGCUACGGUGACUUCAAGUGAGCGCUUAUGUCUGUAGUGUGUGAUAAAAAAAAGUUGAUCAACGAAGGAUUUGCAGCGAACCACUCGCGGAAUUGGAUUGCUGCCGGGUUGGACGAAAACAGGGAGCGCCCACACAGAUCUCCAACAAAACGGAGGGCACACUCACGCACAAGCGCCUACGUGUUAUCCUACGCACGAACACGCUCCUUGGCUCCUGCCAACCCCGAUCGUUCUUUAUCCAGUUGCGGUGCAGUGGUCAUCUAAAAGUAUCCAGUUUUUAUAUGCGGACCGUCUGUGCUCUGCCGCGUCGCCGGCCAUCACGCCCGCCCUACGCUCGUCUGAAACCCACGGUCUCCGCACGCCGGUUUCGCGGUUUCUUGCAGCCUAUAAAUCCGGCCGGAGCGCCCAGCUCUGCCCCAUCCCAUCUCACACACCACUACUCAUCUUGCCUCACACACUUCACUACUCUGCUCGCAAGUUCACUUCCUUGGGUUCUCGUACCACCAACCUCCCUCGCCAAGAUGUGGACGGUGACCCGCGCCUACCUCGACCAGAGGCUCGCCGCCGCCAAGCGCUGCUCCAGAGGUACUAACCAAAACGAUAUGAUGCAUGGCCCGCCGGUUCACCAUGCCGGCAAUGCUCUUGCCACUCUGUUCUACUCCAGUACAUUGCAGCUUUGUAUACUGUUUGUGCUAAAACUUGGUUGUCAUUAACAUCCCGGUGUUGAUCCGAAACUGCAGAGGCCGCCAUGGCCGGAGCCAAGGCCGCGGCCGUCGCCACCGUCGCUGCCGCAGUCCCCACAGUAAGUAGCCAUUCAGUUCUCCGACGAAAUCCUUCCACGGUUCAUAGAAUGUCUCAUGAAUGCUUUACCUCUAACUUUAGCUGGCGAGCGUGAGGAUGCUGCCGUGGGCGAGGGCGCACCUGAACCCGACCGGGCAGGCCCUCAUCAUCUCCACCGUCGCCGGGAUGGCCUACUUCAUCGUCGCCGACAAGACCAUCCUCUCCAUGGCCAGGAAGCACUCCUUCGACGACGCGCCGGACCACCUCAAGAACACAUCCUUCCACUAAUAAUUCGACUAUAAUAGAUCCAUUAGUAGUGGGUAAUAAUCUGCACGCCGGCCUGGAAGUGUCUGCUGAAAGAUAGUACUGUAAUGUUCAGGCAGCACUUAUCUGAGAUCAGGCGAGGCUUGCAGACAGCCAGUGGCGUAGUACUGCGCUUCUCUGCGCGCAAGAACUUAUCUGAUGAAGUGAUCAUGUAUCCACCCAUUAAUCUUGAAUUAAUAGUAAUAACUUGCGUUUGUACAACUCAGGCUCACCUGCCAUCACCCAUCUUACAUUUAAUUGAUCAUCGUUUGAAAUGGGGCACUGGCAGAGCAUGCACAAGACCGAAACAACACUGCAUACUUCGAUCCCCUACUCCUCCCCUGUUCUGUGAUGGACAUCAGGAUGGCCGGAGGCAGGUGGCUCUGUAGGGUGGCCGGAGUAAUCUUUCACUUCAAAUGUUGUGUACUAGUACUUUCUUGAACAUUUGCAACGAUAAAUCUGACUUUAAAUCACCUCAUUUUAUGUAAUAACAUACAUUUGGUACUCCCUCUGUAAAGAAAUAUAAGAGCGUUUCUUAUAUUCCUUUCCAGAGGUAGCAUUUUCUAUGACUUUUUUAGUUGAAAAAUAAAUAAUAAAAAUAAAAUUGUCAAAAAGUCAACUUUGGCAGUGUCCUAAUAUUGGUACAUGAACUUGUCAUGGAAAUCUCACACGAUUUCUAGAAAGGUAGAAAAACCACUUGAUUAGAAAUUGCCCCUUUUGGCACGGUGUCCGAAUAUUGGUACAUGCUUACUAGUUUUAAACUUUGGGCAAAUUUUGUUAAUAUAGGCCAAAAUGAGUCCAUAAAUAUAGUUUUAGAAGUUCAUAUAAUUGCAGAGCACAAGCAUUCGACCAUUUGAACUACAUUGUUAACCAAAAGGAAACACAACACAUCAACUCCAGCGUAUUAAGAUCCCCAUAAAUUACCACAACUACAAAUUCCUGCAUUUUCCCCUUGUACUUGUGUUCUCGGAGAAUGUAGAAGAAUAAAACAAUGAAAGUGGCACCGUCUUUCUUCUCUUCCUGCAAUUGUGUUCCCAAACUUGCUCAUCUGCAUUUCACUAUGAUGAAGCAGGUCCAGGUCUCUCGCUUGGCAGCAUAGUAGGGUAGGUGUGUGACUCAGUGUUAACCUUGGCCUGGACAUAAAAUUAUGAUAUUAUAGGGUUGGUACUGCAAGGGUUGCUACCAAUCAUUGGAAUUCAGCAGAAUUAGAUGACCGUACAAAUUUGUUCACCCAUCAAUGGCCAACACUGAGAUGGCAAUUUUUUUUGGCAUACACGUACAUGAUAGAGAUAAUGAGGAGAGGGGGGAAUCUAGUUUGCCUGCUGAUGCUAACAGAGGUUCAUUCGAAGAUGUUGAUGGACAGUUGAUGGAAGAUGCUGCAGAUGAUGUUGAUGAUGCACAUGAUGAUGAGAUGAUGAAUGUUUAUGACAAAGAAAACCCUGUUAUUGAAGCGGGGAAGUUGUGGCCAAACAUGGAUGAGUUCAGGAUGUGUUUCAGGACUUAUGCGGUCAAGUAUGAGUUUGAUGCUAAGACUAAGUGGGCUGAUAGAAAGAAGUUUUAUGCGAUGUGCAGAGGAUUUGAUGAAAAUGUCAAGCCUUGCAAGUGGUACAUAUCUGCUAGAUGCCAACCUGAUGGAAGUACCAUCAGGGUUAAUCAAAUUCCACAUCAAUAUACUUGUAUUACAAGAUCACAGAGAGUACCAACCAUGACAUCACACAUUUGGGUUGCAGAAAAGAUCACUCCUGUUUUAGGAAAGAAACCAAACACUACUAUAAAGCAACUUUUAGUACACUUAGAAAUCAGUACCUCAUUAAGCUGAAAUAUACCACCGUGUGGAAGGCAAAAUAAAGGGCAAUGAAGCAAUAAUAUGGUGAUUAUGGCCGCCUCAACGGUGUGUCGCCACAUCGGUUGGAAGGUCAAUCGAGUCUUCUCGUCGCUGCUGUUGAUGUGGCGAAGUAGUGGGUCCUGAAGGAAAUAUGCCCUAGAGGCAAUAAUAAAGUUAUUAUUUAUUUCCUUAUAUCAUGAUAAAUGUUUAUUAUUCAUGCUAGAAUUGUAUUAACCGGAAACAUAAUACAUGUGUGAAUACAUAGACAAACAGAGUGUCACUAGUAUGCCUCUACUUGACUAGCUCGUUAAUCAAAGAUGGUUAUGUUUCCUAGCCAUAGACAUGAGUUGUCAUUUGAUUAACGGGAUCACCUCAUUAAGAGAAUGACGUGAUUGACUUGACCCAUUCCGUUAGCUUAGCACCCGAUCGUUUAGUAUGUUGCUAUUGCUUUCUUCAUAACUUAUACAUGUUCCUAUGACUAUGAGAUUAUGCAACUCCCGUUUACCGGAGGAACACUUUGUGUGCUACCAAACGUCACAACGUAAAUGGGUGAUUAUAAAGGUGCUCUACAGGUGUCUCCAAAGGUACUUGUUGGGUUGGCGUAUUUCGAGAUUAGGAUUUGUCACUCCAAUUGUCGGAGAGGUAUCUCUGGGCCCACUCGGUAAUGCACAUCACUAUAAGCCUUGCAAGCAUUGUGACUAAUGAGUUAGUUGCGGGAUGAUGUAUUACAGAACGAGUAAAGAGACUUGCCGGUAACGAGAUUGAACUAGGUAUCGAGAUACCGACGAUCAAAUCUCGGGCAAGUAACAUACCGGUGACAAAGGGAACAACGUAUGUUGUUAUGCGGUCUGACCGAUAAAGAUCUUCGUAGAAUAUGUGGGAGCCAAUAUGGGCAUCCAGGUCCCGCUAUUGGUUAUUGACCGGAGACGUGUCUCGGUCAUGUCUACAUAGUUCUCGAACCCGUAGGGUCCGCACGCUUAACGUUACGAUGACAGUUUUAUUGAGUUUUGAUGUACCGAAGGAGUUCGGAGUCCCGGAUGAGAUCGGGGAUAUGACGAGAAGUCUCGAAAUGGUCGAGACGUAAAAAUUGAUAUAUUGGACGACUAUAUUCGGACUUCGGAAAGGUUCCGAGUGAUUCGGAUAUUUUUCGGAGUACCGGAGAGUUACGGGAAUUCGUAUUGGGCCUUAAUGGGCCAUACGGGAAAGGAGAGAAAGGCCUCGAAAGGUGGCCGCACCCCUCCCCAUAGUCUGGUCCGAAUUGGACUAGGGAGGGGGGGCGCACCCUUCCUUCUUUCUCCUUCCCCCUUCCCUUCUCCUACUCCCACAAGGAAAGGACGAGUCCUACUCCCGGUGGGAGUAGGACUCCCCCCUAUGGCGCGCCUCUCCCCUUGGCCGGCUGCCUCCCCCUUACUCCUUUAUAUACGGGGGCAGGGGGCACCCCAGAGACACAACAAUUGAUCCUUGAGAUCUCUUAGCCGUGUGCGGUGCCCCCCUCCACCAUAUUACACCUCGAUAAUACCGUUGCGGAGCUUAGGCGAAGCCCUGCGUCGGUGGAACAUCAUCAUCGUCACCACGCCGUCGUGCUGACGAAACUCUCCCUCAACACUCGGCUGGAUCGGAGUUCGAGGGACGUCAUCGAGCUGAACAUGUGUAGAACUCGGAGGUGCCGUGCGUUCGGUACUUGAUCGGUCGGAUCGUGAAGACGUACGACUACAUCAACCGCGUUGUGAUAACGCUUCCGCUUUCGGUCUACGAGGGUACGUGGACAACACUCUCCCCUCUCGUUGCUAUGCAUCACCAUGAUCUUGCGUGUGCGUAGGAAUUUUUUUGAAAUUACUACGUUUCCCAACAGGUCCCAGAUGGAAUGAGAUGGUGCGUGGGGCAUACAUCUAAUUCCUUUGCAAUCGCUAUUGGCGUGGACUAAAAUAUGGAAGUUUGAGUGACAAGACUUGAAUAUGCAACUUUGGCAGUGGCACAGACCGAUUUUUCCAUAAAUAUAAUUAAAAAAAAUCCCUGGUGGGUUUGAUGAUAUUGAUUGGAAAUGUAUAUGUUAAUAUUUCUUUCCUAUAAACUUGAUUAAAGUGUAGCCAGACGAAACUAAUAUACACUCUAUUUUGAAAUGUAGGGCGUAUGCCAUAUCUUUAAGAUAUCAUGACCAUGGCUAUUGAUGAUUUCUCUAUACUACUCAUGACAUUUAAUAGGAUUUAUUGGCAUUUAUUUGGAUAAGGAUAACCUUUUGUUGUGGGUCGGAUAAGGAUAAGCUUGAUGCAAAAGAAACUGAAACAUGUUGUUUAAUGACAUUAAUUGGAUAAGGACAACCUUAAUGCAACCACAUCUAUAUAAGACGACUGAACGGUACCAGUCAUGACCACAGAAAACAUAUCGAUUGACAGACUAUUGCAUAACUACAUAUUCUCAGUUGUUCUGUGUUCUUAGGCAAUGGCGAAAAAUAGCAUCUUCCAAGUGAUCAUUGUUUUUCUCAUGGUGCAAGUCUGCUUGCUCAUGAUGAUGGCAGCACCGGCAGCACAUGCAGCUGCUAGACCAGUGGGGUACAAUCCAGUGUGCUGCCCUAGAAACAUUUACUGUUGCGGGUUCGGUGGCGCAUUGGCCAAUUCACCCGUGCCAUCCAUUGAGCCUUGAAGUGUGGUUUUAUUCUCCUCGAGGUAGUAAGCUCGGCAUAUAAAUAAUAUAUGUAGUUUUAUUGUUUCAUGUGUUACCUAUUCCCGAAUAUUUGUGAUGCUAUUUUCAAGAAGAUAUUGUACUAGCUACUUACCUAAUAAAAUGGGAGGAGAUUAUUAUAUAUAUUGUUUUAUGUUUACGUCAGUCCAUUUGAAAACAAGAUUAUUUGGCCGCACUGAUUUAUGGCAAAAAAACGAGUGGUGAGGUGCGUGCCUUUGGGAAUUUCUGUUUUAUUGUUCCGUUGGUCCUCCAUUUGUCGAGAUUGUCUGGGUCGUGGCAGCAUGCUUUAUUUUUCACAAAGGUCAUAACUUUUUAUAGCAUUUAUUGAGUGAUGGAGUACAUCACCAAUUAGUAGAAACCAAUUACUAUUGGCGAUGCUUUUUUUUAAUCAAGGGAUCCACACUCUCUUCCUUUCUUGCAAGAAGGCCGAUGCCAUGUAUUAAAAUUGUCCAACCCUUACAACACCAUCCUUACAAAAGAAUUAACAUAGAAAACAUAUCCUGGGUUAUAUCAAGGGCGUCUUCCUUCCGGACUUGUACGGCGUGAGCAAAACUCGAUGUGGCCUUUGGAUUUCCAGAACAACCUUAGAGCCAGGGUAAAUCAUUCUCUACAUUUUUCAAGUGAGUGCUCAAUUCCUCAAAAAAUAGUCAAAUAAAUAGUAUACGAAUAUAACUUUUUAUUCUUUGAUGGAGCACGAAGGGAUUGUUUGCCGUGGAUCCUAUAUGCGCAAUCUAUCUAUUAAUCUAUUACUAUACUAAUUAGAGACUCCUUCGAAAUUCCCACAAUUAAUCAGAAAAUACGGACUGCUCAUCUGGUGGGACCGAAUUAUUACUGUGUAGAUUUUUUUAAAUUUUCUCACAUUAAUAAAGAUUAAACAAUAAUUAUAAGCCCCCCAUCUGGUGGGACUAAGUUAUUACCACAUAGAUUAACUCAUAUAGUCCUUGGCCAGAAUUUUGCUCCAUUCUCCUAAAUCCAAAUAAUAAUCACUCAAACUCUGUUGUAAAAAUAGAACACUAAAAAAUUACGAUUCAUUCUCUAGUCUCAACUAUUCAAAGGAAAAAAAACUCCCACCUCAAUAUAGGCACUACACAGUCUCUUCCUCUCCCCAUUAAAAAGAUCAUCAACCGGAAGCAAUCUCCAUAAAUUCCAUGGUCACGCAUAGCAUUGUCCAUUGGAUCUGCGAUCGAUCGUCUUGGUCAUUGGCGGAGGCCUUCCUCAAUGGUGUGGCCGAACUCGAUCUGCGGGUGAGGUCAAGAUAACGCUUUGGUCCUAGGGGUUUGGUAUAGGGUCUUACGUAAGGAAAAUGGAAGAAAAAUGAAGUGAAGGCAGAGAACCCAUACACAAAGAGAAGCGAAGUCUGUGCCCCUAGCUACUCAGUAUGCGUACGCGGUUUUCGACACUAGAUGCUGCUUGUUAUUACCAACCAUUUGUAGGCGGUUUGAUUGUUCUGACUAAACCCGGGCAAACGUCAGGCUGGGCUGGGCUUGUAAAAGCCCGGCCUUCAUUCUCAAGCCCGAGCCCGACCCGAAGUCCAAAAACUCUCUGUUUUCAAGCCUGAGCCCGGCCCAAAAUCAAGCCCGAAAGCUCGGCUUGAACGUUGUUUUUAGUGUACGCACGUGCAAGCCUGACCCAAAGCCCGAAAGCCCGUCUCGAAAUACAGAUAAAGAGAAGCCCGAGCCCGGCCCAAACUAUCUUUCGGGCUGCAAAACAAGGCCCGAGCCCAGCCCGAAUGUGAAGCCCGGCCGGGCCGGCCUGUCGAUGCUCGGGUUUAGUUCUAACCACCACCAGCGUCGGCCUUUGCAUCAAGCGAUGCACACAGUCAUUUAUUAAAAAGUAUAGGGUCUCAAAGUAUGAGUAACAUCUCAAGUUGCCAAAAAGGAACAAGAAAUCAAACAAAUAGCCACAACUGACAAAAUAGGAAUGUGGCUAAACACCUAUCUUAUUAAUGGACCAGCAUCUAAACAGGUUGUACUUAGCCCGUGCUACCGUCUCCCAUUGAUUGCACCCAACAGCCAUAAGCCCCCUCUCUACCGCAUGGUGUAGUAAUGACCACUUAGGGAUCCAGCUAGUCGCCCUGAUAGAUAACAUACAAAAAGCUUGUGAUAUUUGUCCUGUUAAAAACACAAUCAUUCCGAUAGUUCCAAAUAGGACAAACUAAAUGCACAAACUAAUUCGUGACGUAGUAUUGGGCUCAACCCCACCUAGCCAGUUACCAAACAAAUUGGAGAUAAUAUUAAGAGGAGGUAUGUUCAACGACACGUGUAUUGUCCGUCACGAUAAGUUGGAAAUGUGGCAAGUGAGAGACAAAUGUUGACUCGUUUCAUCAUGAUCGCAAAACUACACCAUUUACUCCCCUCCCACCUACUCCCUCCGUUCCUAAAUAUUUGUCUUUCUAGAUAUUUCAACAAAUGACUACAUACGGAGCAAAAUAAAUGAAUCUACACUCUAAAAUAUGUCUACAUACAUCCGUAUGUGAUAGUCUGUUUGAAAUGUCUAAAAAGACAAAUAUUUAGGAACGAAGGGAGUACGUUGUAGGCCAACUCUAACCCAUCCACUACAAAAUAGAGGAGGAUCCGUCUGAGCAAAGCUUGGUGGAGUAUAUUUACUUCACUAAGUUUUGGCCGGACAUAGUCGACCCCCUAAAUAUAACCGAGUACAAUUUAUAAUUGGCUUAUACAAUUGGUUGAGCACUUGGUGUGCGUCUGCUUGGGGACUCCGGCAUGGCGAGCACCCCUGCGGCGAGGAACACGGGUUAAACACGUAGCUGAUCAGGAUGCAGACGUUGACAGAUAGCUGCCACCGAGAUGGCAAGCUAGACAUUGCCAAUUGCAGCAUGUUGGUUCCGCUGGCAAGCUUGCUACUCACAUGAUCCUGCUCGGCCUGCACCGUGCCUCGUCCCCCAUCGCGUGCUACAGCUCCUGCUGCUUCCCCUCUGACGGAGGACUGCACCCCAUCACUGUGCUCGACCAUGUAGUGCCUGAAGGGCCUGACUCCUCCGUUGGACAGGCCUAAGGAAAGCUGAAGCUGGAUGGCGUCGUCGACUGCCUGCGAGAUGGGCGCCGGAGUGAGUGUGGUGUUGCGUGGCACCAUGGCAGCAUGAGCUGCAGCUUGAGGUCGUGCCGAACGCUCAUGCCACAGGCGCUCGUGAUGCUGCAGGUCGAGGUCGCCUUCGACUAUGGCACAUGCGCCGAUGCGACGGACGUGUCCCCGUCCGAGCCCCGCAAGGAGAGGUCGCUGUCACUGUCGAACGCCACCCACGAUGAUUCUGACGACCACGGCUAGGAGGAGGGACGGGACGCGGCACUGGGCCGCGACCCGGGGAUAAGCCAGUGGUGGCGGCGACAUCGCCGGGGGCGGGGGUGACUGAGGCUGCGGGUGGUCACCAGGUGGCCACAGAGUGGGGACAGGCGGUCUUAGGGAGAGGCGACAGGUUUUACUCGGCCGCCUUCAGGAGUAAUUUUAGUGGUUGGAUAGGCGGACGAGUAAAAUUUAGCCUCACAUAUACUAUAAGUUUUAGUACUUCGGCUAGGUGCGACAUAAACGAGGAAAACCGAAUUUAUCCUUCCUUAGACUGGCCAUAAUGGGUAGUAACAUAUACAUGUUACUAGUCUAUGUUACCAUCUUUAUAAUGGGGAGUAACAUAUGUGUGGUAACAUGCAACACUUCAUUUAUUAGGCUAUAAACUCAUUUUGCCUUGAUAUGUGUGAUGUUACUCAUACUACUAGUAACUAGCUAUGUUACCACUUUACUCAAUUUCUUCAUUUAUUGUUUACCACAUCAUCUAUUUUAUCUAGAUAUGUGUGAUGUUACUAUCUAUGUUACUCCCACUAUGGGUAGUCUUAUAGUCCGAUAGGGAAUCUUGAUUUUAAAGGGGCCUUUGAUUUUUAAACUUGAUUUCAGCACGUCCAAAGACCGGUGUGGGUAUUAGGGACACAACCCCUUUUGAUGGCCGCUUCUAAUGCCCUUUUUCUACUAGUGAAUAUUGGUUUUGUGCAUCUAUUUGUGACGAUUGCUUUGCUCAUGGUGUCCUUCGAUGAAGUCGGGGUCGCCGGUCGCCUGCGUGCAGCUAUGAAGUUAUUCGUGCAAUAUUUUUUCUUAAUUAAUGAAAAUAACAAGUCUUUUACUACCCCACUGUACAAAAAAUAUAAAAAUGUUUAGAUCAGUACUUUAGUUAUGUAAACACGCACAUAUUUCUUUUACGGAGACCGUUUAACAAAUCAACUAGCAUUAUGUCGAGGAACGAUGCCUGCCAAACAGGGGUUUUGCACCGAGCCGCCGGUGGAAUUGGCCUGAUCGAUUGCCGACGCGGCUAGCCGAGCUAGCUAGAUAGGCCAAAAACAGGGAGCGCCCACACAGACAGAAAUGGAACGCACGCUAACUGACACUGCACUCACGCAUAUGCUCCUACCUAUUCCCUCCGUUCGGAAUUACUUGUCGUAAAAAUGGAUGUAUCUAGACUUAUUUUAGUUCAUCCCGCCGGAGCACCCUGCUCUGCCCAUCUCAUCUCAUCUCACUCACACUGCUUACUUGACUUCACUACCUAGCUCACUUCCUCCGGUUCUCGUGCCACCAAGCUUUCUUCCACGGCAACGGCCACGGCCACGAAGAUGUCUACGGUGACCCGUGCCCACCUCGACCAGAGGCUCGCCGCCGCCAAGCGCUGCUCCAGAGGUACUAACCAAAACGGUGGCAGGCCAGCAAUGCCCGUGUCGUUCUGCUGUUAAACAUUGCAGCCUAUGCGCUGAAACUUGAUCGCCAUUGACAUGCCUGUGUUGCUUCGGAACUGCAGAGGCUGCCAUGGCAGGAGCCAAGGCCGCGGCCGUCGCCACCGUCGCAGCCGCAGUCCCCACAGUAAGUAGCCAGUUAGCCAUUCAGUUAUUCGGCCAAAUCCUUGCACGGUUCAUAGCAUGUCUCAUGCAUGCGUUACCUGUAACUUGAGCUGGCGAGCGCGAAGAUGCGAAGAUGCUGCCGUGGGCCAAGGCACACCUGAACCCAACCGGGCAGGCCCUCAUCAUCUCCACCGUCGCCGACAAGACCAUCCUCUCCAUGGCCAGGAAGCACUCCUUCGAGGACGCGCCGGACCACCUCAAGAACACCUCCUUCCACUAAUUACACAGUAGAUCCAUUAAUAGUGCGCAACAGGCUGCACGUCGGCCCGUACGGUCGUACGUGUUUGCUGAAUGAUACAGUAGUAUAAUGUUCAGCGAGAGAGGCGAGGCGAUGCAGAUCAGGCGUCGCGCUUCUAUCCGUGCAAGCACUUAUCUGACGAAUUUACCAUGUAAUCUAGCCAGUACUCUUGAAUAAAUGAAUACUUGUAUUUGUACAACUCUGAUCCAUCUGCCAUCACUCAUCUUACAUGUGGCAGAGCAUAAAAAAGAAAUCUCCACCGCCGGCCCCUAAAACGUACACAAUAUCCGUUUGCGAGCCGGUCAUCCAACGCUAAUCCAACAAGCGUCCAGACACAUUUCAAAUAGACCUUAAACAAUCUAGAUAAAAUUCAUACAAACCGAACGAUUUUCAUUCAAACCGGGACAAGUUCAUUGCAUUUUAGAUAUAUUUCAACUAAACAAAAGUGGGCGACACUUUUUAACCCAGUCUAAAUAUUCGUCGGUCGUGGAGGCCUUCAUGUUCUGCAUCAUGUCUUUACCAUGUCUGGCAAGUUCAGUGGUCGCAAGCUUUUGUGAAGUGAAGUUGCCGGUGAGGAAGAAUCUGACUUGGGACAUGACUCACAUGGGACACAGGACUUGCCCACAUCCGUGUCCCACGUCCUACUCUUCCCGGCUAGAGUCUGUGAUGUGGACGUUGCCGGACAUGGAUGGAUCGGCCUCAUGGCCAAUGCGGUUGGGCACGAAAUGUGAUAGCGCCGCGAUCAAUGCGGAACUGGCGACGUCCGUGAUGUUUGUGCCCACUCUUCAUCCACCUUCACCUGCAAGACGCACUGCCGCCAUCGCUCGCGAGGGAUGUCGUGAACUGCGGCCAACGACCAUAAGGCUGGUCCAUCCGGCAUUUCCGACACGAAGGUUGUCUCAUCUCCAACGACAAGUAGAACUAGGAUAGUUUGAUCUAUGUUUGAUAUAGUACGUGGUUUAAUUUUACGUUCCAUGAUGUAGUAUCAAAAAAGUAGAGGGUGAGAUUUGGGGUUUGUGGUUGCAGCGAGAGAUAAAUGAAGGGUGACCGGGCUCGGUCUACGGAUGCGUCCGGAAACAUCUGCGAACAUGUGGGGUCACUUUUGAAAUAUGCAGCUGUAGAUGUUGUAACAUUACCAAGAUUUCAAGGAAUUGAAAAUCGGGAUGAUCGGUUUCCUACCUCUUCAUCUUUUUUUAUCGAUAAUUGUAGACGCACGGGGUUUUACGGCCCGUGACAGGCUCUUUNNNNNNNNNNNNNNNNNNNNNNNNNNNNNNNNNNNNNNNNNNNNNNNNNNNNNNNNNNNNNNNNNNNNNNNNNNNNNNNNNNNNNNNNNNNNNNNNNNNNNNNNNNNNNNNNNNNNNNNNNNNNNNNNNNNNNNNNNNNNNNNNNNNNNNNNNNNNNNNNNNNNNNNNNNNNNNNNNNNNNNNNNNNNNNNNNNNNNNNNNNNNNNNNNNNNNNNNNNNNNNNNNNNNNNNNNAGUGGGGGUGGGGCCCUGACCUUAAUCUCCAUCCAAACAGAAGAUCCCAACUAGGACACUCCGUGAAUCCCUGUAAAACAUAGCCCGUGUGUGUAGCAUUGCUCUUUUUUUAUAGGAAAGGCUGAAAUAAAUCCAGGAUCAAGUCUAGAAUUUGAAUCUUGGUGGGCUGGGAUACCACCGUCCUUCUAACCAUCGAACCACAGGUUCGUUCGCUUCUGCCUCUUCAUCUUAACGAUACACACAUUCAUACUUAUAUUUAUUUAUUAUAAACAAUUGUGAGUAGGAGUAAUAAAACUCAGUACAAAUCAAUGAGUGGAGGGAGAAAAAAAUGCCACAAUCGGUGUAGGCAAACAUGCCUACACAAAAAGCAUAAUAUUGGAUCAUCUAUCCUACGUGAAAUGUUAUGUUAUUUUUAAACAGAGGUAAAAGAUUUUCCUCAUCUAUUAAGUAACAAAAUAAUGACAGGAGGGACGUUUUGCCUUUUUUUUAUGUGUGAAGAUUGAUGUUGGUUAUGUGCAUCUUAACUAUGCAGAGGCCAGAUAUAUGUUUAUUUUGACUGUAUUCAGUUGAUGCUUCAUUUUAUUAAAUAAUAAAAUCCAUUCUUAAUGAAAAAAGCAUGGUGGCGGGGCUGACCCCGCCAAACAAAGGAUCAGGCGCUCGCGGAAUUGGAUCGCCGACGGGUUGGCGGUAAACUGGGAGCGCCCACACCACACACAUCGCCAACAACCUGAAGGGCACGCUGACAGAUACUGCUCUCACGCACAUGCUCCUACCUACGUGUUAUCCUACCUAGUACGUGUUAUCCUACGCAGGAACACGCUCCCCGCCAACCCGAUGGAUCGAUCCAUGCCUCGUCUUAUCCAGAAAACAGAGUCCGCCACCUGUGCUCUGCCGCACCUGCACCGCCCACCGGUACCAUUACCGAAACCACGGUCUUGCCUGCUUCCCACCGUAUCAGGUCGUCUUCCUGCCCGGCCGCACGCCGGUUGGGCGGUUUCCUGCAACCUAUAAAUUCCGCCGGAGCACCUCGCUCUGCCCAUCUCAUUCUCAUAUCACUUCACUGCUACUACUAAUUCACUUCCUUCGGAUCCCGCUCGUGCCACCAAGCUCUGCUCCCGCUAAGAUGUCGACGGUGACCCGUGCCAACCUCGACCAGAGGCUCGCCGCCGCCAACCGCUGCUCCAGAGGUAACCACCGACGACCGGUUCCGGCCACAGCCCAGCACUGCUCUGCUCCUAUAUCCCAACCAUCCAUUGCAGCUUAUGUGUCUGCUGAAACUUGAUCUUGAUUAACAUUCCUGCGUUGGUCUGAAACUGCAGAGGCUGCCAUGGCGGGAGCCAAGGCCGCGGCCGUCGCCACCGUCGCUGCCGCAGUACCCACAGUAAGUAGCCAGCUAGCCAUUCAGUUCCAGAGUUCAUAGAACACAUCUCAUGAAUCAACGCGUUACCUGUACUGUAAUUUCAGCUGGCGAGCGUGAGGAUGCUGCCGUGGGCGAGGGCGCACCUCAACCCCACCGGGCAGGCGCUCAUCAUCUCCACGGUCGCCGGGAUGGCCUACUUCAUCGUCGCCGACAAGACCAUCCUCUCCAUGGCCAGGAGGCACUCCUUCGACGACGCGCCAGAGCACCUCAAGAACACCUCCUUCCACUAAUUAGACUAUAAUAGUAGACACAUAUAAUGUUCUAUAAUGGUACUAUAAUGUUCAGCGAGAGGGGCGGUCAGGCGAGGUGAUGGUAUAAUUAUCUGAUGAUGUAUGUAUGUAAUAAUGUGGCCAUGUUCUUUCCAGGGAUCUUGUCAUCUUUCCAGGGAUCGUGAAUUAAUAACCACCAGUUUUUGUACAACUUUAGUUCAAGUGCACUCACUCAUCUCACUUAUUUCUUGUUUGUGAUUGCCAUUUGAUAUGCGUCAAGACCGAGUAACACUAGUACUAGUAGUAGACUACUACUUCAUUCAUUGGAUCCCCUACUACUCUCCUCUCUUCUAUCCCGAAAUGCACGUGGGGAUCAUGCCACCUGACCUCACACUAUAAAUCUUUUGAGGGAGAUGAUUGGUUUAUGCCGGCGGAUCUCAUGCGAGGCGUCCCUCACCUCUUUCUUGUGACACGUGUCUUGGGUCCAUCUAGUACUAUUUCUAGCGGUUCCGUGCGAUCAUGUGCGUGUGGCGGAGAAAGUUCUCUGCAAUAUCAUUUGUGUUGGGAUAUAACUAUUGGGUAUGACCAGAGGGGCCCGGUCAUACCGCUGGCGACUUAAUGAUAAAGAUGGCGGGUUAUGAAGCAAGCCCGUUGAAGGCCUAAGACCCAGAGGCGACUUGAGGCCCAAGAGGAUAAACCGCCAUAUGUGUAACUUGUAUUGUAAGGCAAGUUUAGUUAGUCACCGAGCCGGACACGUUGUGUAUGAGCCGGCCGGGACUCUGUAAGCCGCCGGGCAUCAACCUGUGCAUAUAAAGGGGUGACCCGGCGGCGGGUGAAGGCAAGAAACCAGAGAUCGAGAACUAGGUCAAGCGUAUUUGCUCCCUGGUAAUCGAAACCCAAGCAAUACAACCCCAAACUGGAGUAAGCCUUUACCUCGUUGCGAGGGGCCGAACCAGUAUAAACUCUCUGUGUCCUUUGUCCCGAUUAACCCCUUCAAGCUAAACUAACUGCGAUGGCUCCACACCUAAGUCCUUUCACUAGGGCAUCUGCCGUGUUAAGUCGACGACAAUUUGUGUUGCAAACUUUCUUCCGCAAUAACUCUCAUGUUGCAAAAAAAGUGAAAACAGAAAGAAAAAAAAUCUGCAACAUUACCGGCGGAAGUUGCCCAUGUCCGACCAUGCCGCCGCACGCCGACAAGUUUCUACAACAACAACAAAGUUACAAAACGGCGACCACAACGAGGGCGGUGCUGCUGCGACAACAUCUUUCAUUGCGAAAAAGUUCUGCAACAACAUCCAUGUUGCAGAAGUCCUUUUCGCAACAUUAUCUAUGUUGCAAAAAAGUGAAGAGAAAAAAACACACAACAUAAGCUCCGUUGCAAAUGGUUUUGAAACACUCCAUUUGUUGCAAUGAAUUGUGCCAGAUCUACGGUUGCGGAGGCGGAAAGAUCCGCCGACCGACGCGCAGCACGGUCCAUCUUUUGAUACGGUUUAUAGGAUGCCCUGGUAAAUAAGGAUAGAAAAUUUAGCAGUUCUGUAACAAGCUUUCCAUGGAUAGCCCCACCCUCCCACGCCGCCCCCCGCAAGGCGACGGGGAGGAACCUACUGCGCCGCCGCCAACUACCUUCUCCGCCCCUCCUCCCUCCCUCGCUGCCGCCAGAGGGCGCAGCCGGCCGAAGCCGCCGGCAAGGCCUCGUCGUUCCCCCUUCCAGCGGCCUUGGUGUCGGCCGACGCGGCUGGAUCGGGGUGCCUCGCUGUCCCAGGGCAAGGCUGUGUUGCGGCGCAGCUGCCUUGUGAUGGCGCUGCGCGCGGUGGUGGCGCGACGGGCUGGGCUUCGUAGGCCGUGCUGGUGCGUGGAGCGGCGGGGACGGCGAGCGGCUGGUGCGGGUGUUCAUGGCGGCGGGCGGAUCUAGCGUGGCGGCGGUCGCGGCGAGGCAAGGCGUCAGUGGCGGGGUCCGGUGUGGCCUGGGCUAGCUCCUGGCUUGGCGCAGUGGUCCCUGCCCUAGCUUCGGGCUGGUGGGGGUGGUGGCGCAGUGGUGGUGGCAGGCGGGGCAUGUUGGUCGAGUCCGCGUCGGGACCUUCCUGGUAUGGCGCUCUGACGUUGGCGGACGACGCGAGUAGGCAUCUCCGGUGAGCUUCCUUGGUUGCGGUUGCAGGUCAAUUUGGUCUCACUGUCGGCGAGCGCGCGGUUGCCGAUGGCCUCGCAAAGAUGUGUGUUGUUGGGGAACGUAGUAAUUUCAAAAAAUUUCCUACGCAAACGCAAGAUCAUGGUGAUGCAUAGCAACGAGAGGGGAGAGUGUCAUCCACUUACCCUCGUAGACCGUUAAGCGGAAGCGUUAUGACAACGUGGUUGAUGUAGUCGUACGUCUUUACGAUCGACCGAUCCUCAGUACCGAACGUACGGCACCUCCGCAUUCAGCACGCGUUCUGCUCGGUGACGUCAUGCGAACUCACGAUCCAGUAGAGCUCGAAGGAGAGUUUCGUCAGCACGACGGCGUGGUGACGAUGUUGAUGAAGCUACCGUCGCCUGGAUUAUGGUGGAUUAUGGUGGAGGGGGGCACCGCACACAGCUGGGAGAGAUCAAUGAUCAACUUGUGUGUUCUAGGGUGCCCCCUGCCCCCGUAUAUAAAGUAGAAAGGGGGGAGGCCGGCCGGCCCCUAUAGGGCGCGCCAGGAGGAGGAGUCCUCCUCCUAGUAGGAGUAGGACUCCCCUCUUUCCUACUCCUACUAGGAGGGGGAAAGGAAGGGGGAGAAGGAGAAGGAAAGGGGGGCGCGCCCCCCCUUCCUAGUCCAAUUCGGACUAGAGGGGGAGGGGGCGCCGCACACCGCUGGAAGAGAUCAAUGAUCAACUUGUGUGUUCUAGGGUGCCCCUGCCCCCGUAUAUAAAGGAGCAAGGGGGGAGGUCGGCCUUUGACUAUUGACAAGAUUAAUAGUACAUGACAUGCACAAUGCGAAAAUUGUAUCAUUGAAAGCUCCUUUCACACACGAAUUUAACGGUGUGCCUUGUGUAAGUUGCAUGUCAUAUAUUAUUGCUCUAAUAAUUGGUCAAAGUUAGCCUCGAAAAACGCAUUAGGCCCUAUAUAGAUGGAAGGAGGGAGUAUGUGCUUUGUGAAAGUCCAAUUAAGCGUCUUGAUCUAUCUCGAUAGAUCUUGAUGCCCAAUAUGUAAGCAGCUUCACCAAGGUCUUUCAUUGAAAAACUCUUAUUCAAAUAUCCUUUUAUGCUAUCCAGAAAUUCUAUAUCAUUUCCAGUUAGCAAUAUGUCAUCCACAUAUAAUAUUAGAAAUGCUACAGAGCUACCACUCACUUUCUUGUAAAUACAGGCUUCUACAAAAGUCUGUAUAAAACCAUAUGCUUUGAUCACACUAUCAAAACGUUUAUUCCAACUCCGAGAGGCUUGCACCAAUCCAUAAAUGGAUCGCUGGAGCUUGCACACUUUGUUAGCUCCCUUUGGAUCAACAAAACCUUCCGGUUGCAUCAUAUACAACUCUUCUUCUAGAAAUCCAGUCAGAAAUGCAGUUUUGACAUCCAUUUGCCAAAUUUCAUAAUCAUAAAAUGUGGCAAUUGCUAACAUAAUUCGGACAGACUUAAGCAUCGCUACGGGUGAGAAAGUCUCAUCGUAGUCAACUCCUUGAACUUGUCGAAAACCUUUAGCAACAAGUCGAGCUUUGUAGACAGUAAAAUUACCGUCAGCGUCAGUCUUCUUCUUGAAGAUCCAUUUAUUCUCUAUGGCUUGCCGAUCAUCGGGCAAGUCAACCAAAGUCCACACUUUGUUCUCAUACAUGGAUCCCAUCUCAGAUUUCAUGGCCUCAAGCCAUUUUGCGGAAUCUGGGCUCACCAUCGCUUCUUCAUAGUCCGUAGGUUUUGGUCAAGUAACAUGACCUCCAGAAUAGGAUUACCGUACCACUCUGGUGCGGAUCUUACUCUUGUUGACCUACGAGGUUCGGUAGUAACUUGAUCUGAAGUUUCAUGAUCAAUAUCAUUAGCUUCUUCACUGAUUGGUGUAGGUGUCACAAAAACCGGUUUCUGUGAUGAACUACUUUCCAAUAAGGGAGCAGGUACAGUUACCUCAUCAAGUUCUACUUUCCUCCCACUCACUUCUUUCGAGAGAAACUCCUUCUCUAGAAAGGAUCAAUUCUUAGCAACAAAUAUCUUGCCUUCGGAUCUGUGAUAGAAGGUGUACCCAACAGUUUCCUUUGGGUAUCCUAUGAAGACACAUUUCUCCGAUUUGGGUUCGAGCUUAUCAGGUUGAAGCUAUUUCACAUAAGCAUCGCAACCCCAAACUUUAAGAAACGACAACUUUGGUUUCUUGCCAAACCACAGAUCAUAAGGCAUCGUCUCAACGGAUUUUGAUGGUGCCCUAUUUAACGUGAAUGCAGUCGUCUCUAAAGCAUAACCCCAAAACGAUAGCGGAAAAUCAGUAAGAGACAUCACAGAUCGCACCAUAUCCAGUAAAGUACGAUUACGACGUUCGGACACACCAUUUCGCUGUGGUAUUCCGGGUGGCGUGAGUUGCGAAACUAUUCCGCAUUGUUUCAAAUGUAGACCAAACUCGUAACUCAAAUAUUCUCCUCCACGGUCAGAUCGUAGAAACUUUAUUUUCUUGUUACGAUGAUUUUCCACUUCACUCUGAAAUUCUUUGAACUUUUCAAAUGUUUCAGACUUAUGUUUCGUUAAGUAGAUAUACCCAUAUCUGCUCAAAGCAUAUGUGAAGGUGAGAAAAUAACGAUACCCGCCGCGAGCCUCAAUAUUCAUUGGACCACAUACAUCAGUAUGUAUGAUCUCCAACAAAUCAGUUGCUCGCUCCAUUGUUCCGGAGAACGGCGUUUUAGUCAUCUUGCCCAUGAGGCAUGGUUCGCAAGUACCAAGUGAUUCAUAAUCAAGUGAUUCCAAAAGUCCACUAGGAUGGAGUUUCUUCAUGCUCUUUACACCAAUAUGACCUAAACGGCAGUGCCACAAAUAAGUUGCACUAUCAUUAUCAACUCUGCAUCUUUUGGCUUCAAUAUUAUGAAUAUGUGUAUCACUACUAUCGAGAUUUAAUAAAAAUAGACCACUCUUCAAGGGUGCAUGACCAUAAAAGAUAUUACUCAUAUAAAUAGAACAACCAUUAUUCUCUGAUUUAAAUGAAUAACCGUCUCGCAUCAAACAAGAUCCUGAUAUAAUGUUCAUGCUUAACGCUGGCACCAAAUAACAAUUAUUCAGGUCUAAAACUAAUCCCGAAGGUAGAUGUAGAGGUAAUGUGCCGACCGCGAUCACAUCGACUUUGGAACCAUUUCCCACGCGCAUCGUCACCUCGUCCUUAGCCAAUCUUCGCUUAAUCCGUAGUCCCUAUUUCGAGUUGCAAAUAUUAGCAACAUAACCAGUAUCAAAUACCUAGGUGCUACUGCAAGCAUUAGUAAGGUACACAUCAAUAACAUGUAUAUCACAUAUACCUUUGUUCACCUUGCCAUCCUUCUUAUCCGCCAAAUACUUGGGGCAGUUCCGCUCCCAGUGACCAGUCUGUUUGCAGUAGAAGCACUCAGUCUCAGGCUUAGGUCCAGACUUGGGUUUCUUCUCCCGAGCAGCAACUUGUUUUCUGUUCUUCUUGAAGUUGCCCUUCUUCUUCCCUUUACCAUUUUUCUUGAAACUGGUGGUCUUGUUGACCAUCAACACUUGAUGCUCCUUCUUGAUUUCUACCUCCGCAGCCUUUAGCAUUGCGAAGAGCUCGGGAAUUGUCUUAUCCAUCCCUUGCAAAUUAUAGUUCAUCACAAAGCUCUUGUAGCUUGGUGGCAGUGAUUGAAGAAUUCUGUCAAUGACACUAUCAUACAGAAGAUUAACUCCCAGUUGAAUCAAGUGAUUGCAGUACCCAGACAUUCUGAGUAUAUGCUCACUGACAGAACUAUUCUCCUCCAUCUUGCAGCUGUAGAACUUAUUGAGACUUCAUAUCUCUCAAUCCGGGCAUUUGCUUGAAAUAUUAACUUCAACUCCUGGAACAUCUAAUAUGCUCCAUGACGUUCAAAACGUCGUUGAAGUCCCGGUUCUAAGCCGUAAAGCAUGGCACACUAAACUAUCGAGUAGUCAUCAACACGCGACUGCCAGGCAUUCACAAUGUCUGCAGCUGCCGGCGUAGGUGGUACACCUAGCGGUGCUUCCAGGACGUAAUUCUUCUGUGCAGCAAUGAGGAUAAUCCUCAAGUUACGGACCCAGUCCGUGUAAUUUCUACCAUCAUCUUUCAACUUUGCUUUCUCAAGGAACGCAUUAAAAUUCAACGGAACAACAACACGGGCCAUCUAUCUACAACAACAUAGACAAGCAAAAUACUAUCAGGUACUAAGUUCAUGGUAAAUUAAAGUUCAAUUAAUCAUAUUACUUAAGAACUCCCACUUAGAUAGACAUCCCUCGAAUCAUCUAAGUGAUCACGUGAUCCAUCUCAACUAAACCAUGUCCGAUCAUCACGUGAGAUGGAGUAGUUUUCAAUGGUGAACAUCACUAUGUUGAUCAUAUCUACUAUAUGAUUCACGCUCGACCUUUCGGUCUCAGUGUUCCGAGGACAUAUCUACAUAUGCUACGCUCGUCAAGUUUAACCCGGGUAUUCUGUGUGUGCAAAACUGGCUUACACCCGUUGUAUUUGAACGUAGAGCUUAUCACACCCGAUCAUCACGUGGUGUCUCGGUACGCGAACUUUCGCAACGGUGCAUACUCAGGGAGAACACUUAUACCUUGAAAUUUAGUGAGAGAUCAUCUUAUAAUGCUACCAUCAACCAAAGCAGAAUAAGAUGCAUAAAGGAUAAACAUCAUAUGCAAUCAAUAUAAGUGAUAUGAUAUGGCCAUCAUCAUCUUGUGCCUUUGAUCUCCAUCUCCAAAGCACCCGUCAUGACCACCAUCGUCACCGGCGCGACACCUUGAUCUUCAUCGUAGCAUCGUUGUCGUCUCGCCAACUAUUGCUUCUACGACUAUCGCUACCGCUUAGUGAUAAAGUAAAGCAAUUACAGGGCGAUUGCAUUGCAUACAAUAAAGCGACAACCAUAUGGCUCCUGCUAGUUGCCGAUAACUCCGUUACAAAACGUGAUCAUCUCAUACAAUAAAAUAUAGCAUCAUGUCUUGACCAUAUCACAUCACAACAUGCCCUGCAAAAACAAGUUAGACGUCCUCUACUUUGUUGUUGUAAGUUUUACGUGGCUGCUACGGGCUGAGCAAGAACCGUUCUUACCUACGCAUCAAAGCCACAACGAUAGUUCGUCAAGUUAGUGCUGUUUUAACCUUCUCAAGGACCGGGCGUAGCCACACUUGGUUCAACUAAAGUUGGAGAAACUGACACCCGCCAGCCACCUGUGUGCAAAGCACGUCGGUAGAACCAGUCUCGCGUAAGCGUACGCAUAAUGUCGGUCCGGGCCGCUUCAUCCAACAAUACCGCCGAACCAAAGUAUGACAUGCUGGUAAGCAGUAUGACUUAUAUCGCCCACAACUCACUUGUGUUCUACUCGUGCAUAUAACAUCUACGCAUAAACCAGGCUCUGAUGCCACUGUUGGGGAACAUAGUAAUUUCAAAAAAAUUCAUACGCACACGCAAGAUCAUGGUGAUGCAUAGCAACGAGAGGGGAGAGUGUCGUCCACGUACCCUCGUAGACCGUUAAGCGGAAGCGUUAUGACAACGCGGUUGAUGUAGUCGUAAGUCUUUACGAUCGACCGAUCCUCAGUACCGAACGUACGACACCUUCGCGUUCAUCACACGUUCAGCUCGGUGACGUCCCGUGAACUCACGAUCCAGUAGAGCUCGAGGGAGAGUUUCGUCAGCACGACGGCGUGGUGACGAUGGUGAUGAAGCUACCGUCGCAGGGCUUCGCCUAAGCACUGCUACGAUAUGACCGAGGUGGAUUAUGGUGGAGGGGGGCACCGCACACGGCUGGGAGAGAUCUAUGAUCAACUUGUGUGUUCUAGGGUGCCUCGUGCCCCCGUAUAUAAAGGAGUAAGGGGCAGGCCAGCCGGCCCCUGUAGGGCACGCCAGGAGGAGGAGUCCUCCUCCUAGUAGGAGUAGGACUCCCCUCUUUCCUACUCCUACUAGGAGGGGGAAAGGAAGGGGGAGAAGGAGAAGGAAAGGGGGCGCCGCCCCCCUUCCUAGUCCAACCCAGAGGGGGAGGGGGCGCGCGGCCUGCCCUGGCCAGCCCCUCUCUCUCCACUAGUGCCCAACUAGGCCCAUUAACCCCCGGGGGGUUCCGGUAACCCCUCCGGCACUCCGGUAAAAUUCCGAUUUCACACGGAACUCUUCUGAUGUCCAAAUAUAGGCUUCCAAUAUAUCAAUAUUUAUGUCUCGACCAUUUCGAGACUCCCCGUCAUGUCCGUGAUCAUACCCGGGACUCCGAACUAUCUUCGGUACAUCAAAACAUAUAAACUCAUAAUACCGAUCGUCACAGAACUUUAAGCGUGCGUACCCUACAGGUUCGAGAACUAUGUAGACAUGACCGAGACACGUCUUCGGUCAAUAACCAAUAGCGGAACCUGGAUGCUCAUAUUGGUUCCUACAUAUUCUACGAAGAUCUUUAUCGGUCAAACCGCAUAACAACAUACGUUGUUCCCUUUGUCAUCGGUAUGUUACUUGCCCGAGAUUCGAUCGUCGGUAUCUCAAUACCUAGCUCAAUCUCGUUACCGGCAAGUCUCUUUACUCGUUCCGUAAUGCAUCAUCCCGUAACUAACUCAUUAGUCACAUUGCUUGCAAGGCUUAUAGUGAUGUGCAUUACCGAGAGGGCCCGGAGAUACCUCUCCGACAACCGGAGUGACAAAUUCUAAUCUCGAUCUAUGCCAACUCAACAAGUACCAUCGGAGACACCUGUAGAGCACCUUUAUAAUCACCCAUUUACGUUGUGACGUUUGGUAGCACACAAAGUGUUCCUCUGGUAAUCGGGAGUUGCAUAAUCUCAUAGUCAUAGGAACAUGUAUAAGUCAUGAAGAAAGCAAUAGCAGUAAACUAAACGAUCAAGUGCUAAGCUAACGGAAUGGGUCAAGUCAAUCACAUCAUUAUCCUAAUGAUGUGAUCCCGUUAAUCAAAUGACAACUCAUGUCGAUGGCUAGGAAACUCAACAAUCUUUGAUCAACGAGCUAGUCAAGUAGAGGCAUACUAGUGACACUAUGUUUGUCUAUGUAUUCACACAUGUAUUAUGUUUCCGGUUAAUACAAUUCUAGCAUGAAUAAUAAAGAUUUAUCAUGAUAUGAGGAAAUAAAUAAUAACUUUAUUAUUGCCUCUAGGGCUCCUCCUUCCCCCCUUUCGUCGUGUUUGGCAGGGAGCUCAGUUGGAGGGAUGGGUGGCCUCGAUGCGGUCACGUAACCUGUCACCAGCACGGCGUGCCGGUCCGGAUUCGUCCGCUCCGCUUUCUCCCCCUUUCCUCGGCCUGGGGCGGGUUGGCACAGGUUUACCAACGGAGCAUCUGCGGGUGGUUCUGUCAGUCGAGGGACGUCGGUUGGUCCAAAGCUAGGGCCUUUGUGUACGUCUCGGGGUUGUUUGGUUGCAGGGCGGCGGGAAGCAUGACGUUCGUGGGCGAAGCGUGCGUCUUAUGUGCGGGUGGGAAACUAUGGCCGUGUGGGUGGCGUGGUUGCGGGUGGUUGACGGAGAUAAGGUGCACUGGUGGGGUGUGAGCACCGGGGUACACCACUUGUUCAGUCCUUUGACUACCCGACGGUGGUGGUGGCCGUUGCCGUCAUACCGUCCUGAAGGCUCCGUGGCGGCGUUCCCACUCUGGUCAUCUUGCUCCGGGUGAAACCCGAUCUUCGCUAAUCGGGCGGUGGCGGCUAUCCAUGGUCGUAUCCUUCUUGGAGGCACCGCUUUGGAGGCCUGGCUUCAUUGUGGUCCGGUUCACCUCUUUAUUGUCUGUCGGUGGGGUGGUGUAUUGGUGCCUGGCACCUUUGUAUCUUGCUCUGGGUGUGUGCGAUAUGUGCGUUGUUCGGUAUCUCGAAUGUAUUUGGUGAUGGUUGCUUUAUAUAAUAUAAAGUGGGGAAACCCUUUUUCGGUAAACAAGCUUUCCAUACUAGUGGAGCUCCCCUGGUUAGGUUGGAGGUGUUUCUUGAGACCAGAGACACCUUGACACUUUUCUUGGUCGCGAGUUAUAGAAGUGCAUGAUCUACCUAAUAUGUCCAUUUUGCAUCAUGCUUUUAUAUUGAUAUUUAUUGCAUUAUGGGUUGUUAUUACCUAUUUUGGUACAAUACUUAUGCCUUUUUCUCUCUUAUUUUACAAGGUUUACAUGAAGAGGGAGAAUGCCGGCAGCUGGAAUUCUAGGCUGGAAAAGGAGCAAAUAUUAGAGACCUAUUCUGCACAACUCCAAAAGUCCUGGAAAUUUACGCAGAGUCAUUUUGGAAUUAAUAAAAAAUAUUGGGCGAAGUAAGCACCAGAGGGGGGCCACCAGCCAUCCACAAGGGUGGGGGCGCGCCCUAUCCCCCUGGGCGCGCCCCCCUUCCUUCAAACAAACCUUCUGACCAGGAAAAGGCAUACCAAAGAUUUUCGGAAAGACACGUUGAAAUGGAAGCUCUCGAACCUAUUCCGAAGUAAGUGUGGGCCCCCUGGCAGGCCUCCGGUGUCCAUCUUAUGCUAUAUGGUGUGUUUUGACCUAGAAAAAACCAGAAGGAACUUUCGGGACGAAGCGCCGGCGUCUCGAGAUGAAACUUGGGCAAAAUCAAUCUAGGGCUUCGGCGGAGCAAUUCUGCCGGGGAAACUUCCCUCCGGGAGUGGGAAAUCGAAGCCAUCGUCAUCACAAAUGAUCCUCUCAUCGAGAGGGGGUUAAUCUCCAUCCAGAUCUUCACCAGCACCAUCUCCUCUAAAACUCUAGUUCAUCUCUUGUAUCCGAUCUUUGUCUCAAAACCUCAGAUUGGUACCUGUGGGUUGGUAGUAGUGUUGAUUACUCCUUGUAGUUGAUGCUAAUUGGUUUAUUUGGUGGAAGUUCAUUUGUUCAGAUCCUUAAUGAUAAUUUAUACUCCUCUGAUUUUGAACAUGAAUAUGUUGUGUGAGUAGUUUCGUUUGUUCCUGAGGACAUGGGAGAAGUCUUGUUAUGAGUAAUCAUGUGAAUUUGGUAUUCGUUCGAUAUUUUGAUGAGAUGUAUGUUGUCUUUCCUCUAGUGGUGUUAUGUGAGCGUCGACUACAUGACACUUCACCAUGAUUUGGGCCUAGGGGAAGGCAUUGGGAAGUAAUAAGAAGAUGAUGGGUUGCUAGAGUGACAGAAGCUUAAACCCUAAUUUAUGUGUUGCUUCGUAAGGGGCUGAUUUGGAUCCAUAUGUUUCAUGGUAUAGUUAGAGUUAUCCAUUCUUCGUUCGUAGUUGCGGAUGCUUGCGAGAGGUGUUAAUCAUAAGUGGGAGGCUUGUCCAAGGAAGGCCAGCACCCGACCACCGAUCCACCCACAUAUCAAAUUAUCAAAGUAACGAACGCGAAUCAUAUGAGCAUGCUGAAAACUAGCUUGACAAUAAUUCUCAUGUGUCCUCGGGAGCGCUUUGCUUUAUAUAAGAGUUCGUCCAGGCUUUUCCUUUGCUACAAAAAGGAUUGGGCCACCUUUUUGCACCUUAGUUACUUUUGUUACUUGUUACCCGUUACGAAUUAUCCUAUCACAAAAUUAUCUGUUACAGAUAAUUUCAGUGCUUGCAGAGAAUACCUUGCUGAAAACCGCUUGUCAUUUCCUUCUGCUCCUCGUUGGGUUCGACACUCCUACUUAUCGAAAGGACUACAAUAGAUCCCCUGUACUUUCGGGUCAUCAAGACUCUUUUCUGGCGCCGUUGCCGGGGAGUGAAGCGCCUUUGCCGAGUGGAAUUUGGUAAGGAAACAUUUAUAUUACAUGCUGAAAUUUACUGUCACUUGUCACUAUGAAAAAUAAUCCUUUGAGGGAUUUGUAUGGGGUAUCUUCACCCCGACCGUAUGAGAAAAGAGUUGCCCCUCAACCUACUGAACCUACUGAAAAUGUUUAUUAUGAAAUUCCUUCGGAUAUGAUAGAGAAACUACUAGCUAAUCCUUUGGAGAUGGAACACUACAUCCUGAUAUGCAUCUAAUCUAUAUGGAUGAAGUUUGUGGAUCAUUUAAGCUUGCAGGUUUGCCCGAGGAUGAUGUGAAGAAGAAGGUCUUCCCUUUAUUUUUGAAGGGAAAAGCAUUGACAUGGUAUAGGCUAUGUGAUGAUAUUGGAUCAUGGAACUACAACCGAUUGAAAUUGGAAUUUCAUCAGAAGUUUUAUCCUAUGCAUCUGGUUCACCGUGACCGAAACUAUAUAUAUAUAUAUAUAUAUAUAUAUAUAUAUAUAUAUAUAUAUAUAUAUAUAUAUAAUUUUUGGCCUCGUGAAGGAGAGUGUAUCGCUCAAGCUUGGGGGAGGCUUAAGUCAAUGUUAUAUUCAUGCCCCAAUCAUGAGCUGUCAAUAGAGUUUAUUAUUCGGAAUUUUUAUGCUUGGCUCUCUUGUAAUGAUCAAUCCAUGCUCAAUACUUCUUGUACUGGUUCUUUUAUGAAGAAGACUAUUGAAUUCAAAUGGGAUUUAUUGGAAAGAAUUAAAUGCAACUCUGAAGAUUGGGAACUCGACGAAGGUAAUGAGUCAGGUAUAAACCUUAAGGUUGAUUGUGUUAAAUCUUUUAUGGAUACCGAUGCUUUUCGUGAAUUUAGCACUAAGUAUGGACUUGACUCUGAGAUAGUAGUUUCUUUCUGUGAAUCAUUUGGUACUCAUGUUGAUCUCCCUAAAGAGAAGUGGUUUAAAUAUCAUCCUCCCACUUAAGUAAAAGUAGUAGAACCUAUUAAAGUUGAAGAAGAAACUAUUAGUUAUAAUGUUGAUCAUGUUGUUCCUACUGCUUAUAUUGAGAAGCCACCUUUCCCUGUUAGAAUAAAGGAACAUGCUAAAGCUUCAACUAUGGUUCGUAAGAGUUAUACUAGAACACAUACACCCCCUGAACAAAUUAAAGUUGAACCUAGUAUUACUAUGGUUAAGGAUCUCUUGGUUGAUAAUAUUGAUGGGCAUGUUAUUUAUUUCUUCGAUGAAGCUGCUAGGAUUGCUAAACCCAAUACUAAAGAUAAACAUAGAACCGUUGUUGGCAUGUCUGUUGUUUCUGUUAAAAUAGGAGAUCAUUGUUAUCAUGGCUUAUGUGAUGUGGGUGCUAGUGUGAGUGCAAUUCCUUUUACCUUAUCAAGAAAUUAUGAAUGAUAUUGCAUUUGCUAAGAUAGAUGAUAUUGAUGUUACUAUUAAGCUUGCCAAUAGAGAUACUAUAUCACCAGUUGGGAGUGUUAGAGAUGUUGAAGUCUUGUGUGGGAAAAUAUAAUACCCUACUGAUUUUCUUAUUCUUGGUUCCCCACAAGAUGAUUUUUGUCCCAUUAUAUUUGGUAGACCUUUCUUGAAUACUGUUAAUGCUAAGAUAGAUUGUGAGAAAUAAAUUGUUACUGUAAGUUUUGGGGAUAUGUCUCAUGAAUUUAAUUUCUCCAAAUUUCGUAAACAACCCCAUGAUAAAGAAUUGCCUAGUAAGGAUGAAAUAAUUGGUCUUGCUUCUAUUGUCGUGCCUCCUAUUGACCCUUUAGAACAAUAUUUGCUAGAUCAUGAGAAUGAUAUGUUUAUGAAUGAAAGAAAGGAAUUAGAUGAAAUAUUCUUUAAUCAAGGGCCUAUUUUGAAACAUAAUUUGCCUGUUGAAAUCCUUGGAGAUCCUCCUCCACCCAAGGGUGAUCCCGUGUCUGAGCACAAACAAUUAACUGAUACUUUGAAAUAUGCUUAUCUUGAUGAAAAGAAGAUAUAUCAUGUUAUUAUUAGUGCUAACCUUUCAAAGCAUGAAGAAAAAAGAUUAUUGAAAACUCUAAAGAAGCUCUGUGCUGCUAUUGGAUAUACUCUUGAUGAUCUUAAGGGCAUUAGUCCCACUCUAUGUCAGCACAAAAUUAAUAUGGAGCCUGAUGCUAAACCAGUUGUUGGUCAUCAACGACGGUUAAAUCCCAAGAUGAAAGAAGUGGUAAGAAAUGAAAUACUAAAGCUUCUGGGGGCAGGUAUAAUUUAUCCUAUUGCUGAUAGUAGAUGGGUAAGUCCUGUUCAUUGUGUCCCUAAGAAGGGAGGUAUUACUGUCGUUCCUAAUGAUAAGAAUGAAUUGAUUCCACAAAGAAUUGUUACCGGUUAUAGAAUGGUAAUUGAUUUCCGCAAAUUGAACAAAGCUACUAGAAAAUAUCAAUGCCCUCUACCUUUUAUUGAUCAAAUGCUUGAAAGACUAUCCAAACAUACACAUUUUCUUGCUUUCUAGAUGGUUAUUCUGGUUUCUCUCAAAUACCUAUGUCAAAAGAGGACCAAGAAAAGACCACUUUUACUUGCCCUUUCGGUACUUUUGCUUGUAGAUGUAUGCCUUUCGGUUUAUGCAAUGCACCUGCUACGUUUCAAAGAUGUAUGACUGCUAUAUUCUCCAACUUUUGUGAAAAGAUUGUUGAGGUUUUCAUGGAUGAUUUCUCUGUUUACGGAACUUCUUUUGAUGAUUUCUUAAGCAACCUUGAUAGAGUUUUGCAGAGAUGUGAAGAAACUAAUCUUGUCUUGAAUUGGCAGAAGUGCCACUUUAUGGUUAAUAAAGGUAUUGUCUUGGGGCAUAAAAUUUCUGAAAGAGGUAUUGAAGUUGAUAAAUCUAAAGUAGAUGCUAUUGAGAAGAUGCCGUGUCCUAAAGAUAUCAAAGGUAUAAGAAGUUUUCUUGGUCAUGCUGGUUUCUAUAGGAGAUUUAUUAAAAUCUUCUCUAAAAUUUCUAGGCCUCUCACUAAUCUCUUGCAAAAAGAUGUUCCUUUUGUUUUUGAUGAUGAUUGUGUAGAAGGAUUUGAAAUACUUAAGAAAGCCUUGAUUACUGCACCUAUUAUUCAACCACCUGAUUGGAAUUUACCCUUUGAAAUCAUGUGUGAUGCUAGUGAUUAUGUUGUUGGUGAUGUUCUAGGACAAAGAUUUGAUAAGAAAUUGAAUGUUAUUCAUUAUGCUAGUAAAACUCUAGACAGUGCCCAGAGAAAUUAUACUACUACUGAAAAGGAAUUUUUAGCAGUUGUAUUUGCUUGUGAUAAGUUCAGAUCUUAUAUUGUUGAUUCCUAAGUAACUAUUCACACUGAUCAUGCUGCUAUUAACUAUCGUAUGGAAAACAAAGAUGCUAAACCUGGACUUAUUAGAUGGGUUCUCCUAUUGAAAGAAUUUGAUUUGCAUAUUAUUGAUAGAAAGGGAGCUGAGAACCCCGUUGCAGACAACUUGUCUAGGUUAGAAAAUGUUCUUGAUGACCCACUGCCUAUUGAUGAUAGCUUUCCUGAUGAGCAAUUAGCUGUCAUAAAUGCUUCUCGUAAUACUCCAUGGUAUGCUGAUUAUGCUAAUUACAUUGUUGCUAAAUUUAUACCACCUAAUUUCACAUACCAGUAAAAGAAAAAGUUUUUCUAUGAUUUAAGACAUCACUCUUGGAAUGACCCACACCUUUAUAAAGAAGGAGUAGAUGGUGUUAUUAGAAGUUGUGUAGCUGAGCAUGAACAGGAACAGAUCCUAUGGAAGUGUCACUCCGAGGCUUAUGGAGGACACCAUGCUGGAGAUAGAACUGCACACAAGGUAUUAUAAUAUGGUUUUUGUUGGCCUACUCUCUUCAAGGAUGCUCGUAAGUUUGUCAUGUCUUGUGAUGAAUGUCAAAGAAUUGAUAAUAUUAGUAGACAUCAGGAAAUUCCUAUGAAUUAUUCACUUGUUAUUGAACCAUUUGAUGUUUGGGGCUUUGAUUAUAUGGGACCUUUUCCUUCCUCUAAUGGGUAUACACAUAUUUUAGUUGUUGUUGAUUACGUUACUAAGUGGGUAGAAGCUAUUCCAACUAGUAGUGAUGAUCAUAACACUUCUAUUAAGAUGCUUAAAGAAGUUAUUUAUCCGAGGUUUGGAGUCCCUAGAUAUUUAAUGACUGAUGGUGGUUCACAUUUUAUUCAUGGUGCUUUCGUAAAAUGCUUGCUAAAUAUGAUGUUAACCAUAGAAUUGCAUCUCCAUAUCAUCCUCGGUCUAGUGGUCAAGUAGAAUUGGGCAAUAAAGAGAUUAAAUUGAUUUUGCAAAAGACUGCUAAUAGAUCUAGAAAGAAUUGGUCUAAGAAACUUAAUGAUGCCUUAUGGCCUUAUAUAACUGCGUAUAAAAACCCUAUGGGUAUGUCUCCAUAUAAAAUGGUUUAUGGAAAAGCAUGUCACUUACCUCUUGAACUAGAACAUAAAGCUUAUUGGGCAAUCAAAGAGCUCAACUAUGAUUUCAAACUUGCUAGUGAAAAGAGGUUAUUUGACAUAAGCUUGCUCGAUGAAUGGAGGACCCAAGCCUAUGAGAAUGCCAAGUUGUUUAAAGAAAAAGUUAAAAGAUGGCAUGACAAAAUGAUACAAAAGCGUGAGUUUAAUGUAGGUGAUCAUGUUUUGCUAUUCAACUCUCGUUUAAGAUUUUUUGCAGGAAAGCUUCUCUCUAAAUGGGAAGGUCCUUACAUUAUCGAGGAGGUUUAUCAUUCCGGUGCCAUCAAAACCAACAACGCCGAAGGCACAAAUCCGAAGGUGGUAAAUGGUCAAAGAAUCAAACAUUAUAUUUCAGGUACUCCCAUAAAUGUUGAGACAAAUAUUAUUAAUACCAUAACACCGUAGGAGUACAUAAGGGAUACUUUCCAGAAAUUUCAGACUACGAAAAGGAAUAGGUAUGUGGUACGGUAAUUAAACCGACUCCAAAACUGUUGUAAGGGAAAUUUUUCUCCAUUUUAAAAUAUUUAAAAAAUUAGGAAAAUUGAAAGUAGUCCGAAAGGUGCACGAGGAGACCACAAGGGUGGAGGGCGUGCCCUACCCCCUAGGCGCCCCCCUGCCUUGUGGCCACCUUGUGUGCCUUCCGGACUUCGUUUUCUUGUGGAACACUUCUUUUGGUCGGUAAAAAAUCAUUAUAUAUCUCCCGAAGGUUUUGACCACCGUAGCACGACAAAAUACUCUGUUCUUGUUUCGAGUUGUUUUUCUGACAGAUCUAGAUCACCAUGACGUCUCCAAGCGCCCCCAAGGACAAGUUUUUUGAGAAGGUCAUCAACCCUUACCUCGCGGAGGUGCUGCGACACCCUCAAACCAUUGAGAUGCAUGAGGGGGUUCUUCACAUCCGUGAUGUUGAAGGGACGAAGACCGGAUGCGUGGAGAUAAGACUCGAAGCAAUGGAGCAGCAUGUUUUCAAGUGCCAAGGGAUGGUGGAACAUGGACUCAACGCCAACCACUUGAUGAUCGCGGAAUUUACCAACAACCACAAGUUGGAUGCCAAGAACAUUGGGGAGGCCAUCUUCAAGCUUCAUGAGAAAAUCGAGCAUCUUCAAGCCCGGAUCUAUGACCUGCAAAACCAAAACUGUGAGUAUGAAUACAGAUUUAAGAGGACGAAUUUGGCUGCAGAUUUGAGGAUCCCAGAGACUCGUUCAUCUUUUACGAUGGUGAACCUAUGCCUUGGAAGAUGGAGGAUAAUAUUCUUACUACAUCAACAACUCCAUCAUCACCACCGCUGAAGAAAGAGACAUAAAUACACGGGUAUGGGCACUCCCCUUGGCAACUGCCAAGCUUGGGGGAGGUGCCCCGGUAUCGUAUCGUAUCACCAUCACACCUUUACUUUUAUCGUUUUUCUUAGUUCAAUCCUUUUGGUUAUAUCUUGAUCUAGUAGAAUAAAAUUUUAGUAUGAUCUAGCUUUGAGUUUUGCUUUGAGAUCUACCUAUGUAAUCGAGUCCGUGAGCUAUAUAAUAAAGAUUAGUUUUGAGUUGAGGGCUUUACUUUCUUGCUAUGAUCUUGAGGGAAUAAAAUAAGAGAAAGAAUAAAAAUAAAUAAACAGAUCAUAUAAUUAUCUUAUGGAGAGUAAUGACUUCACAUAUAAAGAGUAUGAUGAAUAAAAUUUGUUAAGAGUUGACAAACAUAGUUUUGGUCAUUGUUGCAGCUAAAAGGAAGUAAUAAAGAAAGAGAGGUUUCACAUAUAAAUAUACUAUCUUGGACUUAUUUUGUAAUUGUGAGCACUCAUUAAAAUAUGACAUGCCAAAAAGUUGAUGUUGGACAAGGAAGACAACAUAAUGGGUUAUGUUUUCUGAUAUCGGAAUAGAAGUUAUAUUGUCGUGGAUCCUCCAACAUGUUGGGCUUGCUUUUCCCUCUUAUGCUAGCCAAAUCCUUUGCACCAAGUAGAGAUACUACUUGUGCAUCCAAAUAUCCCUUAACCCAAUUUUGCCAUGCGAUUUCACCAUACCUAGCUAUGGAUUGAGUAAGAUCCUUCAAGUAAGUUGUCAACGGUGCAGGCAAUAAAAUUGCUCUCUAAAUAUGUAUGCUCUAUUAGUGUGAAGAAAAUAAGCUUUAUACGAACUUGUGAUAUGGAAGAAAUAAAAGCGACGGACUGCAUAAUAAACUUCUUUAUCACAAGCGGCAAUAUAAAGUGACGUUCUUUCGCAUUAAGAUUUUGUGCAUCCAACCAUAAAAGCGCAUGACAACCUCUGCUUCCCUCUGCGAAGGGCCUAUCUUUUACUUUUAUCUUCUACCCUUAUACAAGAGUCAUGGUGAUCUUCACCUUUCCUUUUUACACUUUUUCCUUUGGCAAGCACUAUGUGUUGGAGAAAGAUCCAGAAAUAUAUAUAUCCACUCGGAUGUAGGUUAUCAUAAAGUAUUAUUGUUGACAUUACCCUUGAGGUAAAAUGUUGGGAGGCAAAACUAUAAGCCCCUAUCUUUCUCUGUGUAUGACUGAGGCUUUGAACCCAUAAGUAUUGCGUGAGUGUUAGCAAUGUUGAAAGACUAAAUGAUAGUUGAGUAUGUGGACUUGCUGAAAAGCUCGUAAAUUGACUCUUUCCGAUGUUAUGAUAAAUUGCAAUUGCUUCAAUGACUGAGAUCAUAGUUUGUUAGUUUUCAAUGAAGUUUUGAUUCAUACUUUACCUUGUGAACGAAUUGUUACUUUAGCAUAAGAAAUUAUAUGACAAUAUAUGUUGUUGUUCUAAAGAUGAUCAUCAUGCCCUCAUGUCCGUAUUUUAUUUUAUCGACACCUCUAUCACUAAACAUGUGGACAUAUUUUUCGAUUUCGGCUUUCGCUUGAGGACAAGUGAGGUCUAAGCUUGGGGGAGUUGAUAUGUCCAUUUUGCAUCAUGCUUUUAUAUUGAUAUUUAUUGCAUUAUGGGCUGUUAUUACCUAUUUUGGUACAAUACUUAUGCCUUUUCUCUCUUAUUUUACAAGGUUUACACGAAGAGGGAGAAUGUCGGCAGCUGGAAAAGGAGCAAAUAUUAUGGACAUAUUCUGCAUAACUCCAAAAGUCCUGAAAAAAAUUUGGAGAGUCAUUUUGGAAUUAAUAAAAUAUAUUGGGCGAAGAAAGCACCAGAGGGGGCCCACCAGCCAUCCUCAAGGGUGGGGGCGCACCCUACCCCCCUGGGCGCGCCCCCUGCCUUGUGGGCUCCCUGGCAGCCGUCCGGUGCCCAUCUACUGCUCUAUGGUGUGUUUUGACCUGGAAAAUAUCAGAAGGAAGCUUUCGGGAGAAGCGUCGCCGUCUCGAGGUGGAACUUGGGAAAAAUCAAUCUAGGGCUCCGGCGGAGCUGUUCUGCCAGGGAAACUUCCCUCCGGGAGUGGGAAACCGAAGCCAUCGUCAUCACCAACGAUCCUCUCAUCGAGAGGGGGUCAAUUUCCAUCAACAUCUUCACCAGCACCAUCUCCUCUCAAACCCUAGUUCAUCUCUUGUAUCCGAUCUUUAUCUCAAAACCUCAAAUUGUUACCUGUGGGUUGCUAGUAGUGUUGAUUACUCCUUGUAGUUGAUGCUAGUUGGUUUAUUUGGUGGAAGAUCAUUUGUUCAGAUCCUGAAUGAUAAUUAAUACUCCUCUGAUUUGAACAUGAAUAUGCUUUGUGAGUAGUUACGUUUGUUCCUGAGGACAUGGGAGAAGUCUUGUUAUAAGUAAUCAUGUGAAUUUGAUAUUCGUUCGAUAUUUUGAUGAGAUGUAUGUUUUCUUUCCUCUAGUGGUGUUAUAUGAACGUCAACUACAUGACACUUCACCAUGAUUUGGGCCUAGGGGAAGGCAUUGGGAAGUAAUAACUAGAUGAUGGGUUGCUAGACUGACAGAAGCUUAAACCCUAGUUUAUGCGUUGCUUCGUAAGGGGCUGAUUUGGAUCCAUAUGUUUCAUACUAUGGUUAGAUUUAUCUUAAUUCUUCUUUCGUAGUUGCGGAUGCUUGCGAGAGGGGUUAAUCAUAAGUGGGAGGCUUUUCCAAGGAAGGCCAACACCCGACCAUCGAUCCACCCACAUAUCAAAUUAUCAAAGUAACGAACGUGAAUCAUAUGAGCAUGAUGAAAAUUAGCUUGACAAUAAUUCUCAUGUGUCCUCGAGAGCGCUUAGUUACUUUUGUUACUUUAGUUAAUCAUAAGAGUUCGUCCAGGCUUGUCCUUUGCUACAAAAAGGAUUGGGCCACCUUGCCGCACCUUAGUUACUUUUGUUACUUGUUACCCGUUAUGAAUUAUCAUAUCACAAAACUAUCUGUUACCGAUAAUUUCAGUGCUUGCAGAGAAUACUUUGCUGAAAACCACUUGUCAUUUCCUUCUGGUCCUCGCUGGGUUCGACACUCUUACUUAUCGAAAGGACUAUGAUAGACCCACUAUACUUGUGGGUCAUCACUACCCAAUACAAUCAAAAGGUCGAUAUGAUGAAGAAGACUAGGCAAUACAUUUGUACAUUAACACUCCCCCUCAGGUGUGGCUCCCUCAGGUCUAAACGUGGAACGAAAGUCGACUGCAAUUUAAUUGCGCUAGCCGCUCUUGAACUCAAGACCUCUUGGCUCUGAUACUAUGUAGAUUGUGCAUGCUCUAGGGAAUGCAACAAAAAAAACUGAUCUGAUGGAAGAGACUAGCCAAUACAUUUAAACGUCAACACGAGUUAAUAUGCAUUCAUAUUCAUAUCGCAUCCGUGUGUAAGUGUGCAUGUGAGAUAUUCCAAAGAACAAAAACAUAUGUAGAAUAUACAAAAGUUCCUCUUGUUGAGCUGGAUUUAACACUGUAAAACUAUGUAUGUCGAAUUUGUUAAGUAAGAGCUUCUACAACCGGAGCUCCCACAUCCAUCUUAAACUUCUUAAAUUGCUUAAUUAGAUCCCUCUGUGUUAGUAUGGUAGGGUCUAAAGGCAAUUGAUAGUAAAACCUAUCACUAAUUGUCAAGCUACCAUCGGGCAAGUGAUUGUGUGACACCCAUGCCGUAUCUUCAACAACAUCAUGAAGCUGCUGGGUGGCACCAACCCACUGUUCAAAAUAUCUUCUGAUUUAGCGAUUUAUCAUCUAAUUUAUCGCUACUCGGGGGUGACCGGUAAGAUUAUACCUUAUCUUCACCGUUUAUCAUUUGGGCUGAUUUAUCGCUCUGAUAAGCGAUUUAUUGGGAAUCUACCGAUAAAGCGGGCCUAUCAUAGCACUAUGCUUGCAAAAACUAUGUUUAUUUGUGUUUGAUGAACCUUGUUAUGCAAUAUGUACUAUUAUUGUAUUUUGUUUGUCAUCAUACGAGGAUUCAAUGGCUAGGAAUCAAGGUAACACUUUAGUCCAAUAUUGUCUUGGUGUUGAAUAUAGCAUAUUUUAGUGUUGGGAGCCUAGGAUUUGUAAAAAAUGACCGAUUAAUAGUCGACAGAUAAAAUCGAUUAUUCGGCCGAUUUCUGAUUAAUCUCUAAUCCCCAGCUGACCGCGACGCUAACGAUAAGUGAUAUCCUCAACAUUGCACCAACCUAUGCAAAGUAGCAGCAUGACCGCACUGUUCGAAACAUAAAAAGGGAAUCACAAAACAACACAAGACAAUGGUUGAUUUCUUUACCCAAUGGGAGAGAUGACACUUUCAUCGGGUUCCAGAGGCCGCCGUCCCUCGCCGCCGUUAUGAUCCAGGGGAAUGGAAGCUGUGGAGGCAACGAGGUAGCGACGGAUCAGCGGGAGGACAUGAAUAGAAGUGGCGGGCGAAAGGGGGUCUACCAACUAAAAUUUAGGGAUGGGUCACUAUCGAGCAUAGCAGGUGAGCCCACAAUGGAGAAAGACACGCAUCAGAAGGGCUAAAUGGAAAUUAUGGCCGUAAUGGCAGCCCCCACAUCGACGGACACUCAAAGAGUCUUGUCGUCAAUAUUGGUGGCCCACAUCGGAGUGGAAAAUGGAAAUUAUGGCACAACGUUGGCCCCCCACAUCGCCCGAAAGGGUCAAUCAAAUCUCCUUGUGGCUGCAUUUGAUGUGGCGAAGUGGUGGGUCCAAAAAGGAAGGAAACAACCCAAAGUUGACGGAGAUGACAUGCAGUGUCAUACACCUAAUUUUUUCACAAUCAUUAGUGGUCUAGACCGAAAUAUGGAAGUUUGAGUGGCAGGACUCGAACAUGCAACUCUGGCAGUGGCACGGGCCGAUUCUUCCCAAAAAUAUAAUAUGAAAACUUUUUCAUGAUGGGUUUGAGGAUAUUGAUUGCUAUCGUACAUUUUAAUAUUUCCUUCUUAUAAACUAGAUCAAAGUGUAAUCAAACAAAACUAAUAUGCACUCUAUUCUGAAAUGAGGGGAGUAAGCCCUACCUAUUAGACAACAUGACCGUGGCUAUUGAUGAUUUUUGGGUACUAGUAAUGUCAUUUGAUAGGAUUGUUUUUGGCAUUUAUUUGGAUAAGUAUAACCUUUAUCCAACCAAAACUGAAACAUAUCAUUUAAUGACAUUAAUUGGAUAAGGAUAACCCCCACAAAGGAUAAGGAUAACCUUGAUGCCACCACAUCUAUAUAAGGCGACUGAAUUGUACCCGUCAUGACCACAAAAACAUACUGGUUGGCAGACUAUUGCAUAACUAUAUAUUUUCUGUUGUUUUGUGUUCUUAGGCAAUGGCGAAAAAUGGCAUCUUUCAAGUGCUCAUUGUUUUUCUCAUGGCGCAAGUCUGCUUGCUCAUGAUGAUAGCAACACCGGUAGCACAUGCAGCUGCUAGACCGGUGGGGUACAAUCCAGUGUGCUGCCCUAGGAACAUCUAUUGUUGCGGGUUCGGUAGCGGAUUGGCCAAUUCACCCGCACCAUCAAUUGUAUCUUGAUGUGUGGUUUUAUUCUCCCUCAAGUAGUAAGCUCGACAUAUAAAUGAUAUAUGCGGUUCAUGUGUUACCUAAUCCUGAAUAUUUGUGAUGCUACUAUCAAGAAGGUAUUGUACUAGUUACUUACAAAAUAAAAUGGGAGGAAAUUAUUAUAUAUCUUUUUUGCAAUAUACUACAAAGAGAUUUAAGCUUAUGUAUACUUUACUCCUUUUGGAAACUAGAUUAUUUGACAGCUUUGAUUUAAAGACCCAAAAAAUGAGUGGCGUGGCAUACACGUUAAACUCAUGAGUCUGUAGUGCGUGCCUUUGGGAAUCUCUGUUUUAUCAUCAUGUUGGUCGUACAUUCCGGCGAGGUCAUCCGUGUCGUGGCAACAUGCUUUAUUUUUCAUUGAGAACAUAAUUUUAAAGCAUUUAUUGGGUAAUGGAGUAUAUCAGCAAUUACUAGCUACCAAAUACUGUUGGGCAGGCUUGUUUGUGAAUUCAGGGAUGCACACUAUGUUUCUUUUUGCAAGAAUGCCAAGUCCAUAUAUUAAAAUUGUCCAAACCUUACAACAUCAUCAUUACAAAAGCAGAAAAUACAGCACAUAUCCUGGUGUAUAUGACCGACGUCUUUCUGCCGCACUCGCACCCCGUGAGCAAAACUCGAUGUCGCGAUUGGAUCCCUAGAACACCCUUAGAACCAGGGCCAAUCAUUCUCUACGUGUUUUACAGUGAGUGCUCGAUUCCUCAAAAAACAAUAAAAAAAAUAUCAUAUGUGAAUACAGCUCUUUGGUCUUUGAUGGAGCACGAAAGGUUUGUUUGUUGUGGAUCCUAUAUGUGUAAUCUAUCUAUCUAUUACUAUACUAACUAGAGAUUACUUAGAAACUCCCACGGCUAUUCAGAAUUACGAAUUGUUCAUCUGGUGGGACCGAGUUUGGCAUUGGGUUUGGUCGAGGACCCGGAAAGGGAAGGGAAAUGAAGUGAAGGCAAAGGACCAGCAGACAAAGAGAAGCGAAGGCCAUGCCAGGAGCUACUCAGUAAGCGCAGGCGGAUUUGACAUUAGAUACCCUUCUUUUAUUACAUACCGCCUCCAAUACUUACUGUAGGCGGUUAUGUUGUUCUAACAGUCUGCGGUGUGUGCAUAUUACAGGUAACUACGUCCCAGUUGAUCACAACCGAUGUUGGUUUCGUGCAUCAACUUGUGAUGAUUGCUUUGUUCAUACUCGCCUUCGGUGAAGUUGGAGUCGGUGGAUCAAGGACGAUAGGUGAUGACGAUGAUGCUUGUGUGCAGCCAUGGCAGUUGAUGUCUUCCUAGUUAAGUGCAGAGUCUAGUUGGUAGCCAGGUUGGACGUUGCAUGUGUAUUGUCAUGUUCCAUGAUGGUUGUCUAUUGGGCAUGUUGUUACGGUUUUUGCUCAAUUAUUUUUAAAUUAAUCAUGUUUUCUUUUUAAUUAAUGAAAAUGUUAAAUAUUUUGCCUCAGCUUAAUAAUAAAAGAGUGCAAAUCUAAGUAACUAUCAUGUACUUCGGGGAACGACGCCAACGAUACAUUUGCACCAAACCACUAGCAUAAUUGGCCUCAUUGCCGAUUGACGCGGCUAGCUCGCUAGGCCAAAAACUGGGAGCGCCCAGACAAAUAGAAGAGAAUUCCUUAUUUGGUCCUUUCUUAAAAUCUGCUUCCCUUUUUGGCCCAAAAUUUUUCACCACAACUUCAUUUUCUUCUUUACACUUCCGAUAUUUUCUAUUAACACCAUGAAGUGCUGAGAUGAAAAUUCCUAUUUACCCUUGAUUUAGCAUGCUGAAAAAACAUAGGAAAACCCGCGUGCGUGAGAACCCUCCCACACGUUCACUCCCCUAUUCUCUCCCCGACUUACUGCGAGAUGCUAGCCCUAACCCUACGACGGCGGCGGAGGGCACACAACGGCGACGACGCGAGGCUGGGAGAGCGGUGUGGAGGAGGGUGUGGCCGAGGUACUUAUGGAUGGUAGGGUGGAAGGCACGAUGGAGGAGGGCCAUGUCGCUGCACCGGUCUCGGCCUCGGGCGGCCAUGGUGGGGCGACGGAGGGGGCAUGGUGGGGCAACGGCUACAGCGCGACUGCUAAGGGGUGGGGCGACGACUACACUUUGGCUGACGCUGAUGUAGGAUCGGUAAGGGCAGAGCUGGGUGCUCGGCCUCGACGACAUGGCUAGAAGGGGGACUCCUCUCUUUCUUCUCUAGAUUUCUCCAAAUAUAACAUAUUACUUUGAGUUCAUUCAUCAUUGGCUAUUUGACGGUUUUGUAUGCAAUAAAUUAAUCACCUCAAUUGUGCAAUAAAUAAAUUAAUCAGUCUUGAUUGAGAUAUGAGAUCACCUCAAUUGUAUUGUAUUCUUAGAGAUGAAUAUUUGCUGUGAGAUCUAAAAUGGAAAAAAAAGUCAAAAACAUUAGUUUGAUACUAUAAAGCAAGUAUGUUCAUAGAUCUUGGAUACUAUAUUUACAGAUAAUACUUUUAUUUAUUUUAAAUAUAAAGCAAGUAUGUUCCAGUUCAUACAUAAUUGAUCUUCCUUUUAAUGUUUGUUGAAAAUAUGCACAUGGGUUUGAUCUGCUUGUGCUACUGUAUAAGGAAGUUGUAGGAGUAGAACGUACUCAUGAUUAGGUUUCUCUUGCUUUUACAGGAUGGAUCCAAAUUCAACUUAUCUGCUGAAAGUAUUCUAAUUUCUUCCUUACCACCAUGGCCAAGGCUUGGAGAACACAAAACUAAGAAAACGGGAAAAUUGACUAACUCUGAAUCUUGAGGAUAAAAAAUGUAACCUAAAAUAUGUUUGAAAAUUGGUUCACAAGUAAUGCAUUGUUUCUAUUAUUUGUUUACUCUACCGUUGCCAUGCAUGCACAUGAUUGUCUCAAGUUAAUCUGGGCCCAUUUUUCAUUGAAGUGAUAUGCCAAACUAGCAAACAAUUGUUCCUUGGAAGGUAAAUGCCAAACGGAAAAGGAAAAAACUUGCUACAGAAAUUGCAAACAUUCCUAUGGUGCUAAAUGACAGCCUUGCGAUGUGCACAAGAAGCAAAAGAUUUAACCCAGCCAGCCCUGCAUUGAGCACGAGAAGCAAAAGAAGGCUUAGCUCGUGAUUAUCUAGUUCAUUACGUGUUUAUUGCAAACUGUUCAUGCGCUCAAUCUAUCAUGUGAGCUUUUGCAUACUGUUUAUUCAAGAUGCUCCUUUUGGAAACUAUUUAUGUGCUCAGCUCAUCAUGUGAGCUUGUGAGCUUUGGUGUUGUUUAUGUGAUGUAUGUGACUUGGAGGUGUUCUAAUUGGGCUUGUGUAUGUGAUGUAUGUCACCUGGUGGUAUUCUAUAUGAAACUGGAUGCUAUGAUAGUUGUGGAUGGUACUUGAUGAGUUACGUGCAUAUGUUGAAGAGUUUGUAGUCGUGUUGUCAUGAUAUUAUAUGAAUUGUGUGCAUAUAUGAAUUGUUGGCAGGGUAUAUGACAAUUUUCUUAUUAAAAUCCAAUGAUUUAACUCUGCAUUGAUCAUAUAAUCUGCUCACAUACUACACUGGGGGGUAAAGCAGUCUUUUUAGGUUCGACUUAACACCUUUAAUGGUCAAAACUGGCGGAAAUGGCACAUAUAGGGAACCAAUUGAAGUUUUAGUGCUAAGAGAAUCUACAGCCGGACUUGGAAAAUUUGGCCCCUCAAACGCUCGCGGGCGCGUUCGGGGGCACUGACCGGUCACACCUCCUAUUUGGUGAUAUGCAUUCAAACACCUCAUUUUCAUCCCCUAAAUCCAUACAAACCAGGCAAAAAAAAUUCCUAUGUAAUACGUACACCACGUUAUUCUAAACUAUGUUUCGCCGUCGGAGAUGUCCACGAUGUCCGUGCCGGACGCCAGGUAGAUGGGCGCGUAGGAGUGCUCCGGCUCCUCCUCCUCUUCCUCAUCCAUAGCCGCAGGCAUCUCGUUGACGUCCGCGGGGUGCUCCGCCUCCGCCUCCUGCAAACCAUCCGCGUUGUGCUCUGUUUUGCCUCCGCCUCCUGCACACGCCGCCGCUUGGCCUCCGCCGCCGAUUCCGACCGGAGAGACUCGAGGAUCGCCUGCAGAUCCACGGCCCCAGCGUCCCCCACAUCCUCCUCCUCCUUCAUCAUGCUCCUCCUCCUCUGGAUCUACCGCAUCCAGGGGUAGCCCCACUGCUAUCUGGGCUUCGUGCCUUGCCAGGACCUGCUCAAGCGAGCCUCAAACGCCCGGGUUGGCCGGCACCCCUCAUAUCCAGCCCAAAUUCGGGGAGAGUAUGGGGGCGAAGACCGCCCCAAACCUGUCUGGGUCAUAUUGUCGUGACCGGGCUGUCCGCUCGGACAUUUGUGACGGGUUUGAGGCGCCCGGCUAUAGAUGCUCGAAAAAGGAAAGCAUUCUCUUUCGAGUGCCAAAAAGGAAAGUAAAUUUUCAGAAAGCGUCAAAUAAGAAAUUCUCUCCAUAAACAGAUGUGAGGGCAUGUACAAUGGUUGAUAAGAUAGUCGUAUCUUAUGUCUUACAUGUAAUUUAGAGAUGCCAAAAAAAUGUCUACAAUGGGUCAUCUCUUAGUCUUAUCUACAAUAACUAGUUAUUCCUAAAAAUGUGGUGAAACAUAUUGUGCUAAGAGAUCAUCUCUUAUCUUCUUUUAAAUAAGAGAAGACAAGUCUUUUUUAUGAGUUAUAUCUCCUCCACCUCAUUAUUUAUCCUACAUGGCGCUGUACAUGGCCUGAAAAGAAAACGGACACGGCACUCACGCACAUGCUCCUACGUACGUGUUAUCCUACUCACCAACACGCUGCCUGCUAGCAAUCGAUGCCUCCUCUUAUCCGGUGCCGAGUGUAGUGGAGCGCCCGCCCAUCACAUGCUCGGUUUUCUAUAUGACCAACGAGCCGGCGCCACCUGUGCUCUGCCGCAGCGCCGGCCAUCCCGUCUGCCCGCCGGUACCACCGCCCGUCUCAAAACCACGGUCUCGCUUCCCACUGUAUCAAAUCGCCUUUCUCCCCGCCCGCUGGUUGCGCGGUUUCCUGCAACCUAUAAAUCGAGCCGGAGAACCUCACCUGUCCAUCCAUCUCAUCUCAUCCAACUCACACUACUACUGAUCUCAGCUAGGUGUACUUGAGUUCACUAGCUAGCUCUCUCCCACGAAGAUGUCUACGGUGACUCGUGCCCACCUCGACCAGAGGCUCGCCGCCGCCAAGCGCUGCUCCAAAGGUAACCAAAACGAUAUCAUGUCGUGCCGGUCCUCAAGGGCACAUUGCAGCUUUCUGUACAAUCUCUGCUGAAAUUUGAUCGUGACUAAAAUGUAUCUGUUGAUUCGGAACUGCAGAGGCUGCCAUGGCGGGAGCCAAGGCCGCGGCCGUCGCCACCGUCGCUGCCGCAGUCCCCACGGUAAGUUGCCAUUCAGUUCUUCGAUGAAAUCCUUGCACGGUUCAUAGCAUGUCUCAUGAAUGCGUUACCUGUAACUUCAGCUGGCGAGCGUGAGGAUGCUGCCGUGGGCCAAGGCACACCUGAACCCCACCGGGCAGGCGCUUAUCAUCUCCACCGUCGCCGGGAUGGCCUACUUCAUCGUCGCCGACAAGACCAUCCUCUCCAUGGCCAGGAAGCACUCCUUCGACGACGCGCCGGAGCACCUCAAGAACACCUCCUUCCACUAAUUAGACUAUAAUAGUAGAUCCAUUAGUAGUGCGC